rnacentral:lncRNA from 1 species
AUAUGAUUCAUGUCUUUGAAAAGUGAAACUCAGAACUACAUCAUCAUUGAGAUAUAACAAACAUUUAUUCUAUUGUCAACUCACUCACAACAACUUUACAAGGCCAUCAAGCAAUCAAAUUUUAAGAAUUAUAUUAUGAUAUUCAUUUUCCGGGAACGAAGUUUGUGGCAUAGGCCCAGGCGUUGUUGUUAACUGGAUCUGCUAGGUGGUCAGCAAGGUUCUCCAAUGGACCCUUUCCUGUAACAAUGGCCUGAACAAAGAAUCCAAACAUAGAGAACAUAGCAAGUCUACCGUUCUUAAUCUCCUUUACCUUGAGCUCAGCAAAUGCCUCUGGAUCAUCAGCAAGACCUAAUGGGUCAAAGCUGCCACCAGGGUACAGUGGGUCGACAACCUCACCUAGAGGCCCACCAGCAAUACGGUAUCCCUCAACAGCUCCCAUCAAGACAACUUGACAAGCCCAGAUAGCCAAAAUGCUUUGUGCAUGGACCAAGCUUGGGUUGCCCAAGUAAUCAAGUCCACCCUCGCUGAAUAUCUGGGAUCCAGCCUUGAACUACACAGCCUCACCAAACUUGACACCAUUACGGGCCAAGAGCUAGGGGAAGACACAUCCAAGAGCACCAAGCAUAGCCCAUCUGCAGUGGAUCACCUCAAGUUCACGGUUCUUGGCAAAGGUUUCUGGGUCUGCUGAAAGUCCAGCAGUGUCCCACCCGUAGUCACCGGGAAAUUCACCGGUCAAGUAGCUUGGAGACUCACCUGAGAAUGGGCCCAAGUACUUGACACAGUCUGGCCCAUACCAUGGGCUGCCAGAUGAGGCAGGCUUGGAAACAGCCUUUCUCAUAGAGAUCCUUCCAUUUCCAGUGAUUUCUGAGGCAGAGGGUGAGAGUUUCACUGCCUGUCCAGCAAAAGAAGGGGAAGAAAGUGCCAUUGUAGAACUUGCCAUGGCUUAUCAAGAGAAAAGUAAGUGUUUGAUGGUAUGAAUAUUGUUGAAGUUGGUUGUGAUGAAGCUGAAGUCAGUUGGGUUUCAGAAUAUAUAGCAAGUAAGAGGGAAAGAAUACUUAUCUAGUGAUAUCUAUAUCUAUGAUCUCAUUGGGUAUCAAGAUCCCAUGUACAACAAUUAAUGCACUCUUGGGAAUCUCCAAUCCUUCAAUUUUCCAGGAUGUUCACUAAGGGGACCCAACCAAUUUUGUCCUCCUAUAUGUGGCUGCAAGGCUUGAAAUCUAUUCUAUGAUUUCUUGAGCUUCAAUAUGAUAUCUCUUAUCCAUUGGGAAUUUCUCAAGAUUUUAUCCACCAGGACUAUAGUUCAUUCAGAGUAGAACUAUGGCGUAGCAUUUCACUAAAUAAAUUGAGGAAAAGCUGAAAUUCAUUUGUAUCAGAUUAUCAAUUACUGAUGUUUGUCAAAAGAUUAACCUGUAAUUGCUUAAUAAGCAAAGUGGAUCAAGCUUUGAACUUUAUGAGUUUUGAAAUGUAGGACUAGACCUUAAGCAGUAUAUCCUCCGUCCUAAUUUAUGUGGCACAAUUGAAUUUCGAGAGUCAACCAAGUUUUUGUUUGAUGGAAUUUCUUUAUAUGUGUUUUAAAUAUUUCAAGUUGUUAAUUAUUGUGAUUUAUAGUAGUACUUUUUAUUUUUAGAUAACCAUGGUGUCCGAUAUUCGCCACCUCCCACCAACAUGGGAUUUGAACCUAAAACUUCUGAGGUUCUCAACCCACUUCAUUGACCAUUAGACCUUGGGUUCAUUGUGAUUUAUAGUAUUGUUUAAUAGUUUCCAAGUACAUUGAUUUUAUUUCAAAAAGCUUAAAACUUUGGUGUCCAAAUUGAUGUUGACACCUAAUUUUUACCCCCCCACCCCCCAUAACUAAGUUUAAUUUCGAGUUCUUCGAUUCUUAAUAAGAUUACAACAUUUAUUUUAUUGAAUAAAGGAAAUUUUCAAAAAUAUUUAUUGGGGUAAUUUCGUCACUUUAAGUAGCAAUAACAUGUUAUCGUGCCCGACUAUAUGAAAUUAUAUGCUUUGGUUACUUAAAUGGCUAUUUUCUAUAAAAUAAUCAAAGUUUGUCUUGAAAUAAUUUCGAAUGGUUAAUCUUGGUCUAAACAUAAUUUAAUCUCAAAAAUAAUUUGUAUUUAAUCUCAAAAAUAAUUUGUUCAUAUAAAUAUUUGUUUAAAUUUUAUUAAAUCAAGAAGCUCAGAAUUAAAGGAAAUAUUAAUUGAUUUCGAAUUUUGAUUCAAUUCGGCCAACCUAUCAGCUUCGACCACAAUUGAAAUUAGAUUGGCCAUUAUUGCGAGCAAUUGGCCAAUUGAUUUUAAAUUUGGCCAAAAUUUGAAUAAAUCAGCCAAAUCCCUAAUUACAUAAUCCACCCAAUUAAAUCAAUAUUGUCUCAUUUUAUAAACUACAAAUAGCAGCCCACUUUCUUAAUUUAGCUUACUAGCCUUGCCAACCUAAUAGUUAAGAUCAGCCCUUUCCCCUUUCAGUUGGGCCGUUAGUCCAAAACUUUCAGAUGACCCAACAAUUUUCAAAUGACAGCAAACCCAACCCAUUUUCUCAGCAAUCUUUUUCUUUAAUUAUAUUGACCGCCCCAGCCCAACAACAACAUCCGAUUCAUAACCAGGCGCAAUUUCAGCAUCCCCACCAGCCUAUUUUCCUUUUUCCUAUUUUCCUUUUUUUUCUCAAGCAGGCCUAAAUCAACCACCUGUGACCCGAUCCAACCCAAUUCCCUUUACCCCCUUUAUGUUCUUUCUCUUCAAACCAAGGGAAAACCAAAAACAGCUGUAAUACUACAACACCACCACCUUCAUCGACAACACAAGCAACCAACAACGGCGAAAAACCCGAAUCCAUCAACCCGAUAACCCGACUCCACCAGCCCCAACCCUUUUGUUUGCUCUCCACAAGCAUAUCACGCGUUAGAAAGAUGAGAAAGGAAUCCAAGAAAAAAUCAGUCCCAAACCUUCUAGAACGAGCCUACGUGUCAUCCCCAAAGGUUCAAUCCCGUGUUUCUCGGAUAAGAUUGUACGAUUUCGUACAGAGUUGGAUGAUUUUCAUUGGUUCUUGGAAAGAGUCCGUUUUUCCUAAAUGGUAUUAGUCUACCUGUCGCAAAUUUCUCCAAAAAAAUCCAAAGUUGGUAUGUUUUGGGCUAAAAAAUGAGGUUGUGGGAGGAUGGGAUUCUGAAUUUCGAAUUUCUCUUUUUUUUUAAUCCCUAGAUUACCCCCAAUUCAUCCCAUAUAUAAGGAUCCAUCGGGUCACUGUGAUGGGGGGAUUUUUUUUUAGAUGGGACUCUCCUCUUUUUUUCUAGGUUCACAACUUUAGAGGUAAAGGGAUUCCAACUGGGAGGUUUGGAAAAUUUCGCAAAAGUAUCGAGGGUUUUGGGGUCGAAAAAUUUUAGGAAAAAAUUUCUUAAAUUAGGAAAUUGAUAGAGAGGGCUAAGUUCAGAAACCAAGGAGGAAGUUUCUAGAGAAAGGAAACAAAAUUUUUAAUAUAGGUGUCUUUGGUCGACGAUUACUUCGAGCUUUCGUGGUCACCGUGUUAAAAUUUCUAGUGGUGUUGCAAUCCUGUCGUCAGCUCAACAACCCAUUUUGCUGCUCUGAAACAGGUAAACGCGUCUUUUCCUUUGAGUUUGUUUUGCUUCUUCAUCUCAUCCUUCAUAGUUUUGUAAUUAUAGUGAUAGUGGGAUGGUUUGUUGUAGAUGGUUGUUAUGGCCAUAGGAUUUUCUUGAAAAGAUUGCCGUUAUGUUGGUCGUUGCAUAAAUGUCUACACUCCAAUCCUUCGCUCCACUUUCGAUUUCGUAUGUUUCGGUUCGAUCGUUUUGACUCACCAUAUUAUUUUCAUGCUGUUAGUUAGUUUCAAUCCAUUCUUAAUAGUAAUCAAUGUUGUCAUGGUGGUGUUUUUUUUUAGUAUAAAUGUUGCUGAUUUUUUCAGUUUAAAUAGUAUUACUUUCAAUCUAGAAUAUUGUUAUUUUCUGAGUCUAAGUAUUGUUGGGUUUCAACCCCAAAUAUUAUUGUGUUUUUUAGUCCAAGUAGUGCUGUUUUUAGGCCUGAUUAUUGCUGUUUUUUAGCCUAAAUAUCGCAGGUUUUUAGCCUGAAUGAUGUUUCGGAACUUAAAUAUUUUUCCCAGACCUUGAACAUCGUCGUUGAACUCUUUGGUUUUGUUUUGUUGCGUCAAACAUGUAAAAUUUUCUUAAGUAGCAUACAGUUGAGUCGGAUCUUAUUUGGUUGUCUUUAGAAUCGAUCAAUAACAUGUUGGUUGUUUUGUUUCGAUUUAAAUCGGUCUUCCUUUCGAAUUAUAGAUGACCAAAAUAGAUAAUGUGCUUCUUUCUUCUUGAAAAUGACGUUCAAAACUGUUUGUGCUUGAGGCGUUGAUUUAUUUUUGCUUUCCCCCUUUGUUAAAAAUAUGUCCAAUUCAUCUUUUUGUGUCGAUUAGAACAGUGGCUUGUCAAUAUCCUAUUCUUACGUUGGUCUGAUUUUCGCUCAUAGGCUUAAAACUCUUAAGGUUUUGCAAAGCUAUUAUGUAGAAAACAACGAUUCUAUUGUCUUUUGGAUACGAAUCUGCAUCCUCAAUAUUUCUUCCGAUAAAUUGUUUCGGAGUCUAUCGUUUUCUCUUUUUGUCUUUGUUAAUAUGUGUCAUUUGCUACUACUUGUUGAUUCUUUGUUUGUAAUACUUGUUUUUCGGUUAUCUUCUACCCUGUUUAAUUAUCUGGUUCAAUAUAUUAAUUUUUUUUAGCUUCAAGAAUCUUGUGAUGAACUAUCACUUGUUGGUCAUUGAUAUCAAAAUAAAUCAAGAUGUGUUCAAACCAAGCUAUAUAAUUGGUCUUUUCUCUUAAGUUUGUGCUUUCUGGUUGAUAAAUUUUAAGGUGAUAUUUCUAUGGGUGAAAUGAAUCAGGAGCUUUACAUGAUAUUUCUUUUAAUUAGAUCACACUAGUACUGUUUUAUUCAUGCACCAAAUGUAUUCUUUUCCAUGUCAUCACUUAUUUGUUAAGUAACCAACUUUCAAACAUAUAUUAAUUUUCUUACUUUUUACUUUGCAUGUGGAUACGUUUGAGUCCUAAACGGACUCCUUUUCACCUUUGCAUCCUCGCUAUGGGCCCUUGAGGCUCACCUCGUUGAACUAAGCCCAAAAGAAGGUCCAAAAGGCCAUCGUUUGGCGUAUGGAUACGAGAAGACGGGAGGAAAGGAAAUGGAUUAAAGCCCUACAUUUGAAGCGGCUAAGAGACAAAAGUCUCAUUUAUUAUUUCAUUCUAUUUAAUUAUUGUUGCUUUUUUUAUUUAUUUUAUUUGUUUGUUCAUUUUAUUUAUUCAUUCGGAUCACGAAGCCAAAGUUGUAAAUUUAAUACAGGUGGAGCGAGACUCGAGCUAAAGACUCGAAAAACAUAGAAUUAGGAUAGGUGCAAAUGGGUCGAAAUCCUAACUAGAUUAGGAUAGGGUCGACGGUUUGGGCUUAAAAGCCUAAAUCAUUACUUUCCCACUUUUUUCCUUUUUUCUUUUCAUUUACUUGUUUGCUUGUCUCUUUGCGAAGUUAGUUAAAUCCCUAACUAAGUCACUAAAAAAUUGAUUUUGAAAUUUUUUUUAUUUAAUCAACUAUUUUUCUAGCAAAUUGAUUUUCCGAAGUUAAUCAAAAGAAUGUUUUUAAACAGUCCGGAUAACCGCAAGUUAACGGACGUUUUAGGUGCCUAACACCUUCCUAAAAUGUUAAUAGGAACUGCUUACUCAGAAUCUAUUAACUUAAACGAUUUUCCUGUUUUGAAUUGUUUGAUGUAAUUCUCUAAAGGUUUCUUAAUUUCUUUUCAAAAUUAAGUGGCGACUCUCUUUCAAAAGUUAAAAUUUCCGCAAAAUAGAAAUGGCGACUCUGCUGGGGAUUUUUUGAACUAGGUUCUAACCAAAUGUUUGAUUUUGUCUUUUGAUUAAAUGUUUAUGUGUUUAUAUAUUUCAAUUCUAUAAAUAUUAAUUAUCGCAUCUCAUGGCAUAUCCCUGCAUUAUUUAAACUGUUUUGGGAUUUUGUGGAUGUUCGGCCCUUGUUGUUUAAUUUCAAAAUGUGUUGGAAAUACGAACAUCUUAUUUGCACGUGAGUCAUCUGAUGCUGUUCGUAUUUUCAAACUCAAGUUGUCCUUUUGAGAAUCAGUGUUCAAACCACUCUAGACACAGAGGAUAGAACGAAACCAAAAUCCUAUUUUAGGCAUGAGUGUAGGACGAUCCAGUACCCGAGUGGGGUAUUGGGCCCAUUGGAAAACCUACCCUACGUCUAUUGACCCCGAGUUAAUUACAGACGAAUCAUAUUUAUGUGUUGAAAAAAAUACAUGCUUGUCUAAUUCAAUCCAUUAUCCUUUGGGGUCUGGGGAAGGCUUAUCUUUGUCUGCUUUCAUGUAGGAUAUGGCUCAACUACAUUCCCACGAAAAGUUCAAGAUGGUUACUAAACCUGACGAUUUCUUGAAACUAUGGUGGGACCACAUGAGCGCAGGAGAGAAAAAGAUUGUUAGAACACACAUUGGGCAUCUUCCUUCUUUGAUCGAGAUGGACGCUUGGCCCGAAAUUAUCCAUGUACUAAUAACUUUUUGGGAUGAUCAGAAUAUAGUAUUUCGCUUUAGGGAUGUUGAAUUGACUCCUACCAUUGAAGAGGUAUUAUUUGUUACGAGAGUACAGAAAUGUGUUUUAAGAGAAGGGAGACACCUGAUAAGAACAUUUUAGUCCCGAUUGUGUGGGAUCGUCAAAAGAUCAAGGAGGUAUUUUUAACUAACGACGACACCUGGCUAGGAGAACGUGUGGAGAAAAUAUCACUUUUCGUGAGUUGUAUCGUCGGUUCGGGAGAUUCAAUGCUUUUCACAAAUUUGGGCAUAAAUAUGAGUCAGAAGCAAAAUGGAAAGAGUCGAGAGCCUUUGCAUUUGCGGUAGGCCUACUUUGAACCAUGGUGUUCCCACAAGGGGAAAAUGGCACAAUUCAUCCGAGGGUUGUCUCAGUGACCUAUGCACUCUUCUUUGGAAUGGAGUACAAUUAUAAAAAGGUAUUUCACAACUUAGAUCCUAUGAUUGUUGCCGACUUAUAUCGAACUUUGGGAAGGUGUCAAGUCGAUAAUCGUUUCUUUCAAGGCUGCAACCUUAUGUUACAAUGGUGGAUGAUGAUUCAUUUGGUGAAAAAUCCUAGAAUGACACAACCUGACCACAAAACAAGGUGGAAUCUGCUAGAAUCGCACGACAUGUGGUUGUUUUUACACAGGUUCAAAAGGGAAGCAUCUCAUGAAUUUUGGCUUAAGACUCUUGGAGAAUUAAGAGAUGACGAUGUCCAAUGGUCCCUUAACUAUCUUCAUUCAGGGAAAUACAUUAUUCAAGGGGGUGAGUGGCCUUUUCUAGUGCUUCCGGGUAUCAGGGGAACCUGUCCCUACAAUUCUGGUAGAGUUCUUAGGCAAUUUGAGAUCAAGAAGGAGAUGCCUCAAAUCGAUUCUAUGCUCAGAUUCUUCACCGAAUAUGAUGAAACCGAGCCCUCGCUCAAAGACUACAUGAUAAACGAAUUUAGAAGGAGAAGGUGGACGGAAGUCUCUUUCCAUAUAGGGUAUGUACCUGAAGUCAACGAUACUUACAAGGAGUGGGUAAAAAAGAGCCUCAGUGGUGCAUUAAUUUCGGGGCCAAACGUGCCCACUUGGGUCGUGGAUGUAGAAUUCGAGCAUCAGAUCCAACUCCACAGGCUUCAGGAUAAAUUUUAGAAAAAUGAAAUCGCGCACCGACAUCGCAUGUAGAAGAUGCUUUAACAAUACGUAUGUUGAGGGAAGAGUUGAAAAGAGCUAGGCAAGAGGCUGAUGAUGCUAGGCAGUGUUUAAUCGAUUUGGAUGAUAGCAUGGCCUCUCAACUCGAUAGUAUAGGGAAAAUGACUUACCACAGCAAGGCACAAUUAUACGGGAGUCAUCUGAUCAUCAAUAGGUAUCAAAUAGCACAGGAGGUGAACAAGGAAAAGAAGGCAAAGACAGACAAAGGAGCCUCCGUUAGCUAGUUUUUCUAUUUCCCCUGCGCGGGAACUUAUUUUCUUUCAUGUUAUUUCCCUUUUUUCCUAAAGAUUGUAUCCCUCUUUUCUUAUUUUUUUGAAGGCAUCUAUGCCCUUUUUCGUGUCUAUAUAAAUUAGGGGAUAAUGGAUUGACUUUAAGGAAGCAUAUAUUUUCUUCAAAAUCGUUAGGCCUGAACCCUUGGCUCAAAAAGGGUCACCCCAGUUAGGAUACGCAUUAUUAUAAUGUUUUGUGUGAUAUAAUUGUCUUAUGUUCUUAUGUGUGUUUAUUUGGAUCAACGGCAAGUUUAUUCGCUAUACUCCUAUGGAUGAAUUUGGCUAUGACUCAAAAAACUCUAUGUGAUUAUUUCUUGUCAAAUAUUUUGCAUUACUUAUCACAUACGGAAACUAACACAUCUGCCUUUGAGUUGUUUUACUUAACAGAUAGUAGAAACUACUCUGUGUUGAUAUAAGUUGGCAGAACAUCCCUACUUCACCCGGUCAAAAGCGCACAAAAUCCCAUCCUCUGACCAUCAUUUAAUAAUACUAGAAAUAAUGAAGAAAACGCAUUGACCAUCAGGGACAAUCUAAUAGUGGAACAGAAUGAGAUGAUUACGGAACUCGCAAGAAAGCUUGAAAUGCUUCAGGAGGAAAUAAAUUGUACUCGAGAUUUGGCUCACCUGGCCAUCACUGUUAAUGCUCCCGCUCCAGGAGGACACGGGACUCCACUCCAAAUACCUUCCCUUAGUACGCCUAUUCUCGGGGAUCAGCCAAAUAACAUAUCAUCCGUCUCUGCCCCUUCACUUGUCCAAAAUACCAAUCGCGAAAAUAACCCAGAUGCCUACCAUCCACAAAAUCCAUCUCUAACCCCACAAAACCCAUCUACGAAUCUAUUCCCAAAUCCCCAGAACACAUUUUCAAAUCAAGAAAAUUCAUUCCCAAAUCCACAGGAUUCACUUCCAAACCCGUAAAAUCCAUUAAAUCUAUUCCCGAAUCCACCAAAUUCGUUUCCAAAUCCGCAGAAUUCUCCUCCAAUUCCACCAAACCACUCGUAAAUUCCACAAAACCUUCCUAAAUUUUAAAACAUCAUCCCCACCUACCAAUAAACUUCCUUUCAUCUGCAAAAUCAAGCCUCCUUUCCAAAUCUCCCUCAUGCCAUCAUAUCCCCUGACAUCUAUAAUCCCCUACCUAAUUUUGAGAUGGACCAUUACUAAGAGAAGGAGAAAGAGUGGAUGAUCGAGGAUGAAAUUAGGUUGCUAGCUAUGAAUGAAGAGAUCAUGAGGAUCAAAGAAUCUCAUGAAGCGAGGGACCACGACGGUUUAGGGUAUGAUGACUUAUGUGUUCACUCUGGAGUAGAUCUACCAGAAGGGUACAAGGUCCCCAAGUUUGAAGUGUUUGAUGGUGCUGGGAAUCCAAUGGCCCAUCUGAGGAGGUACUGUAAGCAACUGGUAGGGAUCGAGAAAAAUGAGGUGUUAUUGAUGCGCCUAUUCAGCCGAAGUUUAAGCGGUGAAGCCUUAGAGUGGUUCAUGUAUCAGUAGCCAAAAAAAAUGGACUGGUUGGAAAGCAUUGGCUAAGGGUUUCCUCGAAAGGUUCUCAUUCAACAUUGAAAUUAUCCCGGACCGGUAUUCACUAGAUCGGAUCAAACAAAAGAGUGAUGAGAGUUUUCGAGACUAUGUUUUUCGUUGGAGGAAGGAAGCUGCCAAAGUUCAACCCUCCAUGUCUGAGGAAGAAAUGGUAUCCGUAUUCUCUCACGCUCAAGAAGGACAAUAUUAUACCAGGAUGGUGUCCGCUUCAGGGCAACUUUUGCAGAUUUGGUAAAAAUUGGGUAAUCACUGGAAGAAGGUAUUCGUACAGGAAAAAAUUGCCAAGACCCCAACAUCGUUCGAAACUGCUAUGUUCUCGAAGAAGAAAAAAGAGGAUGUAGGCACGGUUUCUGCUGAUUCUAUUGCAAAAACGAAAAAAAGGUUCAACUCUAGGAAUGUUUUCUCUUCUCCACCAUCACCAAACUUUCAGCAUGUAUUCUACACCCAACCCCAAUACCAAGCUUCACUUCCAAAUAUCCAACCUCAGUACCAAACUCCACUCCCAAAUAGUCAACCCCAGUACCAAGCUCCACUCCUAAAUGUCCAAUCCCAAUUCCAAGCUUCGCAGCCAAAUAUUUUUCCCUAAUGUCAAGUUCCACCGCUGAAUUAUCAUCCUAAUAUCCAAUCCACUCUUCCAAACAUCCGAAAAAACAUCCAAGCACCUCUAAAUUAUCAUUAAGUGCUUCCUCCUGCAAAUCAAAAUCAUUAUAACACUCCGCAUCCAAACAUCAAAAAUAAACCUCCCCAAAACUCCACGUUGCUUGCUGAAAGUCGCACCCAACUAUUUGAAAGAUUGAAGAAUAUCGGUCACUUGUAAUCGAUCCAGUUAAAUCUUGUCAAUCCCAACUCUCGAUUUUAUUAUCCUGAUCAAAAUUGUUCUUAUCAUUAAGGAGCAGCAGGGCACAGUACCGAGGACUGUUUUAUCUUGAAACAGAGGAUCCAAGAUCUGAUUGAUCAAAAGGUCAUCACGCUUCAGUCACCGACACCAAAUGUCAAUAGUAACCCAUUGUCUAAUCAUGGGGGAUCUACUAUUAACAUGAUUGAAAUGAAACGAGAAUGGGUGUCUGGCAAGACUAUUACUAAGAUGAAUUCAGAAGAGUGCAAAAGGGCGGAAGAGGUAGAAAAGAUAGAGAGAGUUGUGGCUACCUUAAGUGUCAACGAGAAAGCCCCAUUUAUAGUGAUGACGGCCCCUAUCCAAGUGUACACUCACCCGCCAAGGAAGGAAUUUAUUGUACAGACCGUUGUUGCCUAAGGGAUGAUGCAAUCGGGAUGAUGCUACAUCUCUAAAGAAUUGACCAACAAAAAAAAUUCACAGAAAAGGCCAACCACUAAAGGGGAGGAUGAGGAAUUUUGGAGGCGUAUGCAACCCAAAGAUUAUUCAAUUUUCAAACAUUUAGAGAAGACGCCGGCCCAAAUCUCCAUUUUGGCACUAUCAAUAAGUUCGCAAUACCACCGAUAAGCUUUAUCAAAGGUCUUGGAUGAAGCGUAUGUUCCCGUAGGAACGAGUGUUGAGAACAUGGUUGCGAUGAUAGAAAACAUUGUGGGGAAUCAUCGUAUAUCAUUCAGUGAUGAAAAGUUGCCUUUUGAAGGAGUGAUGCACAAUAAAGCCUUGCAUGUCACUGUCAUUUGCCAAGAUUAUGCGAUUAAUCAGGUAUUAAUAGAUGAUAGAUCUGGUGUGAAUAUUUGUCCCCUCUCCACGUUGGUUCAAAUGGGCUAUAAUUUGGGAAAAAUUCAUCAAAGCCACAUAAAUGUGAGAGCAUUCGAUGGAGGGCAGAGAGAUACCAUAGGAGAAAUUGAUUUGUACAUCCAAAUGGGACCUGCUGAGUUCAAAACUAAGUUUCAUGUUAUGGAUAUUCAUCCUAGCUACAACCUUCUCUUGGGAAGACCAUGGAUACAUGGUACAAAGGCCGUUUCAUCACCCCGUCAUCAACUAUUGAAAUUCAUUUGGGAGGAUCAUGAAGUAGUCAUCCAAGGGGAAGGAAGCCGAGCGGAUCGUCCCAAUGGUUAUGUGCCGGUAAUUGAAGAUGUUCCAAAGGGUAGUAGUUUCUAUACGGUUGAAAUUAUAAAUGCUGUGGAGAAGGAUCUGACGCUCAAAGGGACAAUGCCUUCUUUCUAUAAAAUAAUUGCGACGGUGAUGUUAAGAAAUAGAUUCGAGCCUGGUCGGGGUUUGGGUACGAAUCUACAAGGAAUUAUUGAGCCUAUUAUGAUCCCAGAGAAAGCCUUUAAAUAUGGGUUAGGAUAUCACCCUACCGAGAAGGAUAUGGUUGAGGAUAAGUUAGAGCAGAGUCUGUGUAGGCCCUUUUUGCUUUUAUACCAGUCAUUUCCUAUACGGGAGAUGUCGAAUGAUGAUGGUCUUGAGUAUGGGAUAGGAGAUUUGUUUGAGGGAUGCAAUGCUAUACCAGAAGAUUUCCCAAAGUCCGGCGGGGUGAAGAAGAUUGCGCCAGGGGAGGCCUUGAAAAACUGGACCUCCACUCCAACCCGUCGCCCAUCGUGGUAGAUGAAAGGGCAAUUCAGAAUAGUUUUAAAAUCAGUGAUGAUCUGGAAGAGGCCCCACGAUCCACACUUUAUAUCUCAAAACUUUAUUUUUAUAUUUUACUGCUUUCAAAAAGGCAUGGACUUGUAUUUGCACGAGUCAUGAGCCAUGGUUUUGUAAUUAUCUCGCAAAUUUCAUUGAAAAGGCCUUCAUUCAUUUAAAAAAAAAUUAUUAUUCCUGAAACAUUCCUAUUCGUAUAUUUUAUUAUUAUCUUAUUAUCAUCUAACUUGGUUUGUUUGUCCAUUACAGUAACAGUAACUUAAAAUCUGCCAAUGUCAUGUCAUAUCAAAGCUUAGACGAACAAAAUAAGGGGAAUGAUGAUGAUUGGAAGGACGGUGAUGAGGAACAAUUAGUUGAAGAUAUAGAGGAGUUUGAGAAUCGAGAAAAGCCUAACCUAGAGGAAACUAAAAUAGUCAACCUCGGAGAUCAAGAUGAAAUCAAAGAAAUAAGUGUCAACGUCCACUUGGCGGAAGCACAAAAGAGAGAGCUCAUUCACCUGUUACAGGAAUAUAUUGACGGUUUUGCUUGGUCCUAUGAUGAUAUGCCGAGAUUGAGCACCAAUAUUAUGUCGCGUAAGUUGCCAAUAAAUCCAGAGUUUGAUCCAGUCAAGCAAAAAAUACGGAAAUUCAAGCCAGAUUUAAGUCAAAGAUCAAGGAAGAAGUGACAAAACAAAUCCAGUCUAAGGUUGUGGAGGUCACAAAAUAUCCAACAUGGUUGGCCAACAUUGUCCCUGUGCCGAAGAAGGACGACAAUAUUCAAAUUUGUGUUGACUAUAGAGACUUGAAUAGAGCCAGUCCUAAAGAUAAUUUUUCGUUGCCCAAUAUCCACAUCCUCAUCGAUAACUGUGCAAAGCAUGAAAUUCAGUCAUUCGUUGAUUGUCUUGCCGGGUAUCAUCAGAUAUUAAUAGAUGAGAAAGAUGCAGAAAAGACGACUUUUAUUAAGCCCUGGGGUAUUUAUCAUUACAAGGUAAUGUCGUUUGGUCUCAAGAACGUGGGUACAACAUAUAUGAGGGCUAUGACGAUGAUUUUCCAUGAUAUGAUCCAUAAAUAGAUUGAGGUGUAUGUGGAUGAUGUAAUUAGCAAAUCCUGCGAGAGUUCAGAUCAUCUGACUCAUCUGGAGAAAUUCUUUAACAGAUUAAGAAAGUACAGUUUAAAGUUAAAUCUUGCUAAGUGUACUUUUGGUGUGCCAUCAGGGAAGUUACUGUUCAUAGUUAGCAGAAGAGGCAUCGAGUUAGACCCAUCCAAAAUCAGGACAAUCCAGGACUUGCCAUCGCCGAGGACUAAGAAGAAAGUUAUGAGUUUCAUGGGUCAUUUGAAUUACAUUAGUAGCUUCAUCGCUCAAUCGACAUUCAUAUGCGAUCCAAUUCUCAAGAUAUUGAAGAAAAAUUCAUUGAAUGAGUGGACAGAAGAAUGUCAGAGAGCUUUUGACCACAUCAAAGAAUAUCUAUCUGCACCACCGGUUUUGGUUCCACCAAGAGAAGGAAUUUCAUUAUUGCUUUACCUGUCAGUCCCAAAAAAUGCUUUUGGAUGUGUCCUCGAGCAACAUGAUGAGACCGGUAGAAAAGAGAAAGCCAUUUACUACUUGAGUAAAAAGUUUACGCCAUAUGAAGCCCGUUAUACUCUUGUAGAAAUGACAUGUUGUGCUUUGACUUGGGCUGCACAAAAGUUAAGGCAUUAUCUGUCUUCGUACACGACAUACAUCAUCUCGAGAAUGGAUUCAUUGAAGUAUAUAAUACAGAAGACUAUACCCACAGGAAAGCUAGCCAAGUGGCAAAUAUUGCUAAGCGAGUUUGACAUCAUGUAUGUAACUCAAAAUGCAAUCAAGGGGCAAGCUUUGGCAGAUAAUUUGGCAGAGAAUCCAGUUGAUGAUGAGUAUGAACCACUUCAAACUUACUUCCCAUAUGAGAAAAUUCUAUUUGUGGGAGAAGACAUUACAGAAAUUUACCCUGGAUGGAGGUUAUUCUUUGAUGGAGCGGUCAACUUCAAAGGUUCAGGAAUCGGAGCAGUGUUGGUCUCAGAAAUGGGUCAACAUUAUCCAGUAACUACUAAGUUGCAUUUCCCAUGCACCAACAACAUGGCCGAAUAUGAAGCUUGCAUCCUGGGUCUCAAAUUGGCACUUGAUAUGGGUGUUCGUGAAUUGCUAGUCAUCAGGGAUUUAGAUUUGCUGAUUCACCAGGUACGGGGAGAAUGGGCGGUAAAAAAUUCCAAGAUUACUCCUUAUGUUGAGCUGGUACAGGAAUUAUGUGGAAAAUUCAAAGAAGUUGAUUUCAGACAUAUCCCAAGAAUACAAAAUGAGUUUGUUGACGCUUUGGCCACUAUAUCCUCUAUAAUUUGGCACCCAGAUCAGAGUUAUAUUAAUCCUUUGGAAAUAAGCUUGAAGGAGCAACCUGCGCAUUGUGCACGUGUUGAAGAGAAGCCCGAUGGAAAGCCAUGGUACUAUGACAUUAAAAGGUAUUUAGAAUCUGGAAUAUAUCCUGAAGAGGCCAGCAACAACCAAAAGAAACAACCCAGCGUUUGGCAAAAAACUACUUUCCAAGUGGGGAAUUUCUUUUUAAGAGGACACCUGAUUUAGGAUUUUUAAGAUGCGUAGAUGCUGUGGAAGCCAAUAAAUUGAUAAAAGAAGUACACACAGGAGUUUGCGGACCCCACAUGAAUGGGUUUGUCCUUGCCAUAAAGAUCCUGAGAACCGGCUACUUCUGGAUAACUAUGGAGAAUGAUUUAGUAAGUAUGUGCAGAGAUGUCCAAAAUGCCAUACACAUAGAGAUUUGAUUCGAAUGCCUCCACACGAGCUUCAUGAAAUGAAUUCACUUUGGCCUUUCGUAGCUUGGGGCAUGGAUGUUAUCGGACCGAUAGAGCCAUCAGCAUCGAUAGGCAUAAAUUUAUUUUUGUUGCCAUUGACUACUUCACUAAGUGGGUCAAAGCUGCAUCAUAUAGAUUCGUCACUAAGAAAAUGGUUGCAGCUUUCGUUAGGAAUAACUUGAUUUGCCAAUUCGGAGUACUGUAAUCAAUCAUUACUGAUAAUGGGGCAAACUUGAACAGUCACUUGAUGAAAGAAAUUUAUGAUCAGUUCAAAAUUGUGCAUCGCAACUCUACCGCAUAUCGUCCACAGAUGAAUGGAGCCGUAGAAGCUGCCAAUAAGAACAUCAAGAAGAUCUUGAGAAAGAUGGUCAAAAUGAUAGAUCAUGUCAUGAGAUGUUACCUUAUGCUUUGCUAGGUAUCGCACAACAGUUCGAACCUCCAUCUGGUCAACUCUCUAUUUGUUGGUUUACGGGAAUGAAACUGUGAUACCUGUUGAGGUUGAAAUACCUUCCCUGAGGAUUAUUCAAGAGGCCGGACUAAGUAACAAAGAGUGGGUUCGCGCUCGUUGUGAACAACUCAUGUUGAUUGAUGAAAAGAGAAUGGUUGCCAUGUGUCAUGGUUAGUUAUAUCAGCACAAGAUGAUUCAUGCUUUCAACAAGAAAGUGAGAGCUCGAACAUUUGAAGUUGGGCAAUUAGUUCUCAAAUGCAUACUCCCUCACCAAGAAUAUUACAAGGGCAAGUUCGCUCCAAAUUGGCAAGGUCCAUACAUAGUUCGCAAGGUACUAUCUAGAGGGGCUCUGAUUUUUCUGAGAUGGAUGGCCAUGAGUGGACCAAACCAAUCAAUUUUGAUGUGGUGAAAAGAUACUAUGUUUGAAGGGCGUUCUAGUUUUAUGGUUCUUAGUUUAUCUGUAAUCGCCAUGUAAUAAUGUGUUUUAUGAUGUGUAAUUGCCUAGAACACUUUUCCCUUUAUGUACGAACUAUGUUUGACCUGAAUUCCCAAGAAAGGGAUACGUAUGCGGCCUAUGUCGGAUUCGGUCAACCUCUUAGAGAAUUUAUUCUUUCCCUUUAUGUAUGAACUACUUGAUGACCUGAAUUCCCAAGAAAGGGAUACGUAGGCGGCCUAUGUCGGCUUCGGUCAACCCAUUAAUUUGUUUUGUAUAUUCCUAGCGUAAUCCUAAACUACAUUUGACCUGAUUCCUACUUCAACGGGAUACGUAGGCGCCCCAACGGUUCGAUCAUAUAACCCCAAGAAAUGAAAACUGGGGCAGAAUUUUUGAGAAGGAAUCUCGAAAAUUCACAAGAGAAGAUCAACAUCCAACAAAGAGAACGAAGAUCAGCAAAGACUUUAGAUCCACUCAAGAUGAUAUCAUCUCAGACUACUUUAAACUGGGGCAGAAAUUUUAAGGAAGACCUCAAAAUUUCAAUCAAAUACUGGAAUAUAUUUUAGAUUCCCCAGCACUAGAGGUCAAAGUUGAGAUUUGAGAAUAACCACCUGUGAUAAAGUCUAGGAAGACUGAAUCUCCAUCUUUGAUAAAACCUCUGGUAGAGAGCCUCGACAAUCUUGAAUCCCAGCUAUCCUCCGUCAAACGUCAGACAUUGUCAGAAUCAAGAUAAAGAAGGUCGUUGAGCUAGCACAUGACAUGACUGGCAAAGAUUUUUCAAAGUUUUGCAGGAGUUCUCAAAAUUAUUUUCUAAAAAGUAAGAGUACUAAAAUCUAUAUAAAUCUUUUACUUAGUUAUUGCCUAGACAUCAAUUAGGACGGAGAGUCAUAAGUAGAAGUCCCAACACGACGAAAUACCUGAAAAAUGGCGAAAGGUAAAUCAAGGAUCGAAGGAGGUCAACACGAAGUAGUUUCACUCAAACUAAUCAUUUUUUAUGGGCGCAAGGACCAAUACACAAAAAUGAAAGUCUCUUUCAAAAAUCUCCGAGCAAAUUGGGAGCCACACCAGAGCACUAAUGCUCAAGAACAGUAUUUUUGGGUAGCCCUAAAAAUGGGUUUAGUACCCAUAUAUUGAAGACCUUUUAAAGUUGUCCAUCUCAUUUCUUGAGAUCAUGGAGGACAAAUAAAAGUGUCUUGUCUUCUUUACAAAUAUUGUAUUUAGAAUUUUUCUAAAAAACAUUCGCUAGCAAAAACGACUUUGUGUCUACUAAUCGUCUACCUUGAGUAUAGGUACAUGCAGAAAGCAAGAUCCUGACAAAUGAUUUCAGUUGAAACUAUUUUUAAUUUACCGGAAGAACCAUUGCAUAUCAUUGCCGAAAGAACAAUUUGAGAGAUUAUCUAUAAGUCAUAUUGUAUCCAAGGUCGGAUGAUAUGCAGGAACCCCUGAAAGCUAGCGAUUGGAGGGAUAUCUGUAAGCUGUCUCUUAUCCAAAGUCGAAUAAUUUGCAGGAUUACCUAAAAGCUAGAAAUUCAAAGGAUAUUUGUAAGUUUCCUCUUAUCCAAUAUCAAAUAAUGUGCAAGAUUAUCCAAAGAUUGAUAAUUUAAAGGAAAUUUAUAAAUCAAUCAUCGUCAAUAACCAAAAAGGUUAUCCUUCCACAUACAACAAGAAUUAUAGGUGACCGAAGAAGUUACCACAUCUACACAAGAUUACAUGGUUGUGAGGACCAUUCUUCAUAAAAUAUCAUUGAUGUCCGAAGGGCCACCCCACUUUGAAGAUAUAUUCAACCGACAAAUGCCAUAAUUAUACAACUAUCAAGAAGGUUGUUGUGCCUGUUAUUUCAAGUUAUUUCCUUUCAAACAGGUACAAGAAAGGAUGACUUCGCUUUUUAGACAACAACUCACGCGGAGAUAUGGUAAAAUACUAUAUACCUCUUUCGUGAGUUAUGCUUAUCACUAAUGAUUUUUGUUUGAGAUAUUGUCGAGAGCAUCCGAGAGGAUAAAAAUCUCAAAUCAAAACCACAAGUGAGGACGACUCCAAAAAGGACGCAGCACAACGUGGAACUCUUUCUUAGCAGCAAAACGGGACAUAGUCUAGACAGGGAUGUCAAACUCUCUGGAUGCGAGCUAAAUGAUGAUUACCACCACCAUCUAACCACACCCCUUUUAGAAGGCAUGUGGGUAUUUUGGGAUAUUCUGGUUUCAGCUUCACCUUCGGGAUAUUUUCUUUACUCAUACCGAGGGUAACCUUCUCUUUCUUUCAAAUUUGGGUGACAACAUACUUAGAGUUUUGAAAAUUAUGUCCAGGUAAGUUCUUAUCUAUGGAUGUGAAGGAUCCCACAUUCAUGAUUAAGAGGUUACAAACCUUUUUUCCGCAACUCAGUCAACUUGUCACUUAUCCUGAUCCAAAGAUUGUCUAAAAAUAGAAGACUAUCUUUUCUACCGAUAGAGUCGAACUACAAGCAGUCUGAUUCCCUGAGUCUCGGGGAUAUGUAAGCUGGGCUCUAUGUAGAAAACUCAACUGAAUUCCAACCUCCCCCCAAAUCCCUCUAUUCCAUAGCUUUUUGAUUUUGUCAAAAACUCCAAAAAUCGAGACAACUUGUGAAUUUUUUAAAAAUCAUGCUUUAAAUCAUGCUUUAUGAACUACAAGUGGCCUGAAUUCUCAUGCCACCUGAGAUAUGUAGGAAACCUGAUGCCAAGGUUCGGCCAUAACUCAUUAAACUCGUGCUUAAGCCAACCUUUUUCAGAUGUGAAUUUGUGAUCAAACAAAAAUUAGGAACGUCAACCUCCCUUUGCCUAGGAUUACUUGCAUCCACCCUACCCAAAGGGAGGGGGCAGUUGUUGACACCUAAUUUUUACCCCCCAUAACUAAGUUUAAUUCCGAGUUCUUUAAUUUUUAAUAAGAUUACAACAUUUAUUUUAUAGAAUAAAGGAAAUUUUCAAAAAUAUUUAUCGAGGUAAUUUCGUCACUUUAAGUAGCAAUAACAUGUUAUCGUGCCCGACUAUAUGAAAUUAUAUGCUUUGGUUACUUAAAUGGCUAUUUUCUAUAAAAUAAUCAAAGUUUGUCUUGAAAUAAUUUCGAAUGGUUAAAAUCUUGGUCUAAACAUAAUUUAAUCUCAAAAAUAAUUUGUUCAUAUAAAUAUUUGUUUAGAUUUUAUUAAAUCAAGAAGCUCGAAAUUAAAGGAGAUAUUAAUUGAUUUCAAAUUUUGAUUCAAUUCGGCUAACCUGUCAGCUUCGACCACAAUUGAAAUUAGAUUGGUCAUUAUUGCGAGCAAUUGGCCAAUCGAUUUUAAAUUUGGCCAAAAUUUGAAUAAAUCAGCCAAAUCUCCAAUUACAUAAUCAACCCAUUUAAAUCAGUUUUGUCCCAUUUUGUAAACUACAAACAGCAGCCCACUUUCUUAAUUUAGCUUACUAGCUUUGCCAACCCAAUAGUUAAGAUAAGCCCUUUCCCCUUUCAGUUGGGCCAUACAGUUGGGCCGUUAAUCCAAAACUUUCAGAUGACCCAACAAUUUUCAAAUGACAUCAAACCCAACCCAUUUCCUCAGUAACCUUUUUCUUUAAUUAUAUUGACCGCCCCAGCCCAACAACAACAUCCAAUUCAUAACCAGGCCCAAUUUCAGCAUCCCCACCAGCCUAUUUUCCUCUUUAUUCUCAAACAGGCCCAAAUCAACCACCUGUUACCCAAUCCAGCCCAAUUCUCUUUACCUCCUUUAUCUUCUUUCUCUUCAAACCAAGGGAAAACCAAAAACAGUUGUAAUACUACGACACCACCACCUUCAUCGACAACAUAAGCAACCAACAAUGGCAAAAAAUUUGAAUCCAUCAACCAGAUAACCCGAAUCCACCAUCCCCAACCAUUUUGUUUGCUCUCCACAUGCGUAUCAGGCAUCAAAAAGACGAGAAAAGAAUCCAAGAAAAAAAUAGUCUCAAAUCUUCUAGAACGAGCCUAGGUGUCAUCCCCAAUGGUUCAAUCUCGUGUUUCUCAUAUAAGAUUGUACGAUUUCGUACAGAGUUGGAUGAUUUUCAUUGGUUCUUGAAAAUAGUCCAUUUUUCCUAAAUGGUAUUAGUCCACCUGUGGCAAAUUUCUCUAAAAAAAUCCAAAGUUGGUACGUUUUGGGCUUGAAAAUGAGGCUGUGGGAGAAUGGGAUUCUGAAUUUUGAAUUUCUCUUUUUUUUUCAAUCCCUAGAUUACCCCGAACUCAUUCCAUAUAUAAGAAUCCAUCGGGUUACUGUGAUGGGGGGAUUUUUUUUUUAGACGGGCUUCUCCUCCUUCUUUCUAGGUUCGCAACCUUAGAGGUAAAGGGAUUCCAACUAGGAGGUUUGGAAAAUUUUGCAGAAGUAUCGAGGGUUUUGGGGCCAAAAAAUUUUAGGGGAAAACUUCUUAAAUUAGGAAAUUGAUAGAGAGGGCUAAGUUCAGAAACCAAGGAGGAAGUUUCCAUAGAAAGAAAACAAAGUUUUUAGUAUAGGUGUCUUUGGUCGACGACUACUUCGAGCUUUCGUGGUCACCGUGUUAAACUUUCUAGUGGUAUUGAAAUCCUGUCGUCAGUUCGACAACCUAUUUUGAUGCUCCGAAACAGGUAAACGCGCCUUUUUCUUUGAGUUUGUUUUGCUUCUUCAUCUCAUUCUUUGUAGUUUUGUAAUCAUAGUGAUAGUGAGAUGGUUUAUUGUAGAUGGUUGUUAUGGCCAUAGGAUUUUCUUGCAAAGAUUGUCGUUAUGUUGUUCGUUGCAUAAAUGUCUACACUCUAAUCCUUCGCUCCACUUUCGAUUACGUAUGUUUCGAUUUGAUCGUUUUGACUCACCAUAUUAUUUUCAUGUUGUUAGUUAGUUUCAAUCCAUUCUUAAUAGUAAUCAAUAUUGUCAUGGCGGUAUUUUUUUUAGCAUAAAUGUUGCUGAUUUUUUCAGUUUAAAUAGUAUUACUUUCAAGCCAGAAUAUUGUUAUUUUUUUAGUCUAAGUAUUGUUGGGUUUCAACCCCAAAUAUUGUUGUGUUUUUUAGUCCAAGUAGUGCUGUUUUUAGGCCUGUUUAUUGCUGUUUUUUUAGCCUAAAUAUCGCAGGUUUUUAGCCUGAAUGAUGUUUCGGAACUUAAAUAUUUUUCCCAGACCUUGAACAUCGUCGUUGAACGCUUUGGAUUUGUUUUGUUGCGCCAAACAUCUAAAAUUUUCUUACGUAGCAUACAGUUGAGUCAGAUCUUGUUUGGUUGUCUUUAGAAUCGAUCAAUAACAUGUUUGUUGUUUUGUUUCGAUUUAAAUCGGUCUUCCUUUCAAAUUAUAGAUGACCAAAAUAGAUAAUGUGCUUCUUUCUUCUUGAAAAUGACGUUCAAAACUGUUUGUGCUUGAGGCGUUGAUUUAUUUUUCCUUUCCCCCUUUGUUAAAAAUAUGUCCAAUUCAUCUUUUUGUGUCGAUUAGAACAGUGGCUUGUCAAUAUCCUAUUCUUACGUUGGUCUGAUUUUCGCUCAUAGGCUUAAAACUCUUAAGGUUUUGCAAAGCUAUUAUGUAGAAAACAACGAUUCUAUUGUCUUUUGGAUACGAAUCUGCAUCCUCAAUAUUUCUUCCGAUAAAUUGUUUCGGAGUCUAUCGUUUUCUCUUUUUGUCUUUGUUAAUAUGUGUCAUUUGCUACUACUUGUUGAUUCUUUGUUUGUAAUACUUGUUUUUCGGUUAUCUUCUACCCUGUUUAAUUAUCUGGUUCAAUAUAUUAAUUUUUUUUAGCUUCAAGAAUCUUGUGAUGAACUAUCACUUGCUGGUCAUUGAUAUCAAAAUAAAGCAAGAUGUGUUCAAACCAAGCUAUAUAAUUGGUCUUUUCUCUUAAGUUUGUGCUUUCUGGUUGAUAAAUUUUAAGGUGAUAUUUCUAUGGGUGAAAUGAAUCAGGAGCUUUACAUGAUAUUUCUUUUAAUUAGAUCACACUAGUACUGUUUUAUUCAUGCACCAAAUGUAUUCUUUUCCAUGUCAUCACUUAUUUGUUAAGUAACCAACUUUCAAACAUAUAUUAAUUUUCUUACUUUUUACUUUGCAUGUGGAUACGUUUGAGUCCUAAACGGACUCCUUUUCACCUUUGCAUCCUCUCUAUGGGUCCUUGAGGCUCACCUCGUUGAACUAAGCCCAAAAGAAGGUCCAAAAGCCCAUCGUUUGAUGUAUGGUUACGAGAAGACGGAAGGAAAGGAAAUGGAUUAAAGCCCUACGUGUGAAGCGGCUAAGAGACAAAAGUCUCAAUUAUUAUUUCAUUCUACUUAUUGUUGCUUUUUUUUUUUAUUUAUUUUAUUUGUUUGUUCAUUUUAUUCAUUCAUUUGGUCCACGAAGUCGAAGUUGUAAAUUUAAUACAGGUGGAGCGAGACUCGAGCUAAAGACUCGAAAAACAUAGAAUUAGGAUAGGUGCAAAUGGGUCGAAAUCCUAACUAGAUUAGGAUAGGGUCGACGGUUUGGGCUUAAAAGCCUAAAUCAUUACUUUCCCACUUUUUUCCUUUUUUCUUUUCAUUUACUUGUUUGCUUGUCUCUUUGCGAAGUUAGUUAAAUCCCUAACUAAGUCACUAAAAAAUUGAUUUUGAAUGUCAAUAUCCUAUUCUUACGUUGGUCUGAUUUUCGCUCAUAGGCUUAAAACUCUUAAGGUUUUGCAAAGCUAUUAUGUAGAAAACAACGAUUCUAUUGUCUUUUGGAUACGAAUCUGCAUCCUCAAUAUUUCUUCCGAUAAAUUGUUUCGGAGUCUAUCGUUUUCUCUUUUUGUCUUUGUUAAUAUGUGUCAUUUGCUACUACUUGUUGAUUCUUUGUUUGUAAUACUUGUUUUUCGGUUAUCUUCUACCCUGUUUAAUUAUCUGGUUCAAUAUAUUAAUUUUUUUUAGCUUCAAGAAUCUUGUGAUGAACUAUCACUUGCUGGUCAUUGAUAUCAAAAUAAAGCAAGAUGUGUUCAAACCAAGCUAUAUAAUUGGUCUUUUCUCUUAAGUUUGUGCUUUCUGGUUGAUAAAUUUUAAGGUGAUAUUUCUAUGGGUGAAAUGAAUCAGGAGCUUUACAUGAUAUUUCUUUUAAUUAGAUCACGCUAGUACUGUUUUAUUCAUGCACCAAAUGUAUUCUUUUCCAUGUCAUCACUUAUUUGUUAAGUAACCAACUUUCAAACAUAUAUUAAUUUUCUUACUUUUUACUUUGCAUGUGGAUACGUUUGAGUCCUAAACGGACUCCUUUUCACCUUUGCAUCCUCUCUAUGGGUCCUUGAGGCUCACCUCGUUGAACUAAGCCCAAAAGAAGGUCCAAAAGCCCAUCGUUUGAUGUAUGGUUACGAGAAGACGGAAGGAAAGGAAAUGGAUUAAAGCCCUACGUGUGAAGCGGCUAAGAGACAAAAGUCUCAAUUAUUAUUUCAUUCUACUUAUUGUUGCUUUUUUUUUUUAUUUAUUUUAUUUGUUUGUUCAUUUUAUUCAUUCAUUUGGUCCACGAAGUCGAAGUUGUAAAUUUAAUACAGGUGGAGCGAGACUCGAGCUAAAGACUCGUAAAACAUAGAAUUAGGACAGGUGCAAAUGGGUCGAAAGCCCAACUAGAUUAGGACAGGGUCGACGGUUUGGGCUUAAAAGCCUAAAUCAUUACUAGAUUAGGACAGGGUCGACGGUUUGGGAUUAAAAGCCUAAAUCAUUACUUUCCUGCUUUUCCCCCCUUUUCUUUUCAUUUAGUUGUUUGCUUGUCUCUUUGUAAAGCUAGUUAAAUCCCUAACUAAGUCGCUAAAAGUUUGAUUUUGCAAAAAAAUUUUCCUUAAUCAACUAUUUUUCUAGCAAAUUAAUUUUCCAAAGUUAAUCAAAAGAAUGUUUUUAAACAGUCUGGGUAACCGCAAGUUAACGGACGUUUUAGGUUCCUAACACCUUCCUAAAACGUUAAUAGGAACCGCCUACUUAGAAUCUCUUAACUUAAACAAUUUUCCUGUUUUGAAUUGUUUGAAGUAAUUCUCUAAAGGUUUCUUAAUUCCUUUUCAAAAUUAAGUGGCUACUCUCUUUCAAAAUUCAAAAUUUUCGCAAAACAAUUAACUGUCAAAGUUUGAAUUUUGAAAUUCCGACCGAGCCACAUAAAUAAAACAGAGGGAGUAGUAAAAAGAUUAUGAAUUUGAUUACAUACAUAUUUAAUGAAUUUUUUAACACAUAUACAUAAUUUGGGCCAAAGCUACUUGGUUCUGUCAAACAGUAUGCUGAAGGCUACUCUGCCCCUGUUAAUAAGUGAUAUGAUUGUAUUAGUACUUUUUAUAAUGUCAAUGCAUAGAACUUAAUUUCCUUUCUAGUAAGUGUCAUGUAUAGCAUACUUUUAUCUUCUUCUUACUAUGUCCUUUUGGCUUUGGUCAUUACUAUGUGCCAUGUUUGGAACGAUGCCUCACUCUGUUAAAUAAGUUGUCACAUAUGCAUGCAAGGAAGGAACAGUAUACAAGAAAUUUAUGAAUUUGUUCAAAUUAAAGAUGCAUGGUUGAGCGGAGAUUAAGGAAGGUCAUGUCUAUUUCGGAGAAUCAGUUUGGAUUUAUGCUUAGUCGCUCGACGACAGAGGUAAUCCACUUGGCCAGGAGANNNNNNNNNNNUGGAAAGAAAGAGGGAUCUACACAUGGUGUUCAUCUACCUGUAGAAGGCGCAUGACAAAGUCCCUAGGGAAGUUCUUUGGAGGUGCUUGAAGGUGAGAGGGGUCCCGAUGACGUAAAUCAGAGUCAUUAAGGACAUGUACAAUGAAGGGAAGACUCGGGUGAGGAUGGCGGGCGGAGAAUCAGAUCAUUUUUUGGUCGAGACAAGGUUAUAUCAGGGAUCGACUCUCAGUCCGUGUCUGUUUGUGUUGGUGAUGGAUGUGUUGACGCAAAGUAUUCAAGGUGAGGUGCCUUGGUGUAUGUUAUUUGCAGAUGACGUAGUGUUGAUUGAUGAGACACUGGGAGGUGUAAAUAAAAAAUUAGAGGUUUGGAGGCAUACCCUUGAGUCUUAGGGGUUUAGGUUGAGUAGGUCAAAGAUAGAGUAUAUGGAGUGCAAGUUUAGUGACUCGAAGCAGGAGGCCGAAGUGGUGGUAAGGUUGGAUUCCCAGGAUGUUUGCAAGAGGGAUAGUUUUAAAUAUCUCGAAUCUAUGAUUCAGAGGAAUGGCGAGAUUGAUGAGGAUGUCUCUAAGCGUAUUGGAGCAGGUUGGAUGAAGAGGAGGCUCGCCUCGGGAGUGUUGUACGAUAAGAAGGUGCCCUUAAAGCUUAAAGGUAAGUUCUACGGAGUGGCAAUCCGCCCGGCCGUGUUGUAUGGUGCGGAGUGUUGGCCAGUCAAGAACUCCCAUAUUCAAAUAUUGAAGGUAGCGGAAAUGAGAAUGUUGCAUUGGAUGUGUGGGCUUACUAGAAGGGAUAGAGUUAAGAAUGAGAUUAUCCGGAAGAAGGUGGGAGUGGCGUCGGUGGAAGACAAGAUGAGGGAAAAAAGACUGAGAUGGUUUGGGCAUGUGAUAAGGAGGGGCACAGAUGCCCCAGUUCGUAGGUGUGAGAGACUAGCUUUGGAUGGUUUCAGGAGGAGUAGAGGCUGACCGAAGAAAUAUUGGAGAGAGGUGAUUAGACAUAACAUGGAGCUGCUACAGCUUACUGAAGACAUUACCCUAGAUAGGAAGGUGUGGAGGUCGCGAAUAAGGGUGGAAGGCUAGUGCGGGUGUGGGUUGUGACUUGUAGUUAGGGAGCUCUUCUGUAGUCGAUUUAGUAACCCUAGGACUGUCCUUUGGUAGGAGCCGCUAGUGUAUUCUACUACUAGGUGAGUGUCCUUGUCUUAUUUCUUAUUUCCUAUUUCUUAUUUUCGUAGUUCGCUUAUUUUCGUGUCGCUCUUAUUUUUAUUAUUAUUGUUUCUUAUUUCUUAGUUUUUGGUUAUGUCACCCAUCUUGUUUCAUGUAUUAAUAUGACCUUGUUAAUUAUUCUUUAUCUAGAGUCGGGGGUCUAUCAGAAACAACCUCUCUACUUCUUUGGAAGUAGCGGUAUGGACUACGUACAUUCUACCCUCCCCAGACCCCACUUGGUGCAAAUACACUGGGUUUGUUGUUGUUGUUGUUGUUGUAAAGAUGCUAAUUAAAUUAAGGUACACAUAAACCUAAGUAUUAUGACUUGGAAACUCACAUAGUAGUACUUGCUACGUUCAGACUACAAAACACAUUGAUUUUCCCUUUUAACUGAAAUGUCAUUGAUCUAGUAGUAAAAUGUUACGAUGAUCCUCUUUCACUUCUUGACAGAAAAAUGAGGAAUCAUGCAAUAAGCUUAUAUCGUUCAACAUUAUUAUUUGCACUGAUUUUGAGUAUUGCUUCUUGAGAAUUAAUUGAAUUCGAUAAGUUCCUCCGGUCUGUAAAUUUAAGUUUAAGCUUUUAACAGCUUUAUAGUUUUUCUAGUUACCAUAUCCCAAAUGUAGCUUCGGUCGUUUUUGCUAUGUUCUUUUUUUUUUCCUUUGAUAUGAAAGUGGCACUAUAUGAUUCAUGUCUUUGGAAAGUGAAACUCAGAACUACACCAUCAUUGGAAUAUAUCAAACAUUUAUUCUAUUGUCAACUCAAUCACAAUAACUUUACAAGGCCAUCAAGCAAUCAAAUUUUAAGAAUUAUAUGAUGAUAUUCAUUUUCCGGGAACAAAAUUUGUGGCGUAGGCCCAGGCAUUGUUGUUAACCGGAUCUGCUAGGUGGUCAGCAAGGUUCUCCAAUGGACCCUUUCCUGUAACAAUGGCCUGAACAAAGAAUCCAAACAUAGAGAACAUAGCAAGUCUACCGUUCUUGAUCUCCUUUACCUUGAGCUCAGCAAAUGCCUCUGGAUCAUCAGCAAGACCUAAUGGGUCAAAGCUGCCACCGGGAUAGAGUGGGUCGACAACCUCGCCAAGAGGCCCACCAGCAAUACGGUAUCCCUCAACGGCUCCCAUCAAGACAACUUGGCAAGCCCAGAUGGCCAAGAUGCUCUGUGCAUGGACCAAACUUGGGUUGCCCAAGUAGUCAAGUCCACCCUCGCUGAAUAUCUGGGAUCCAGCCUUGAACCACACAGCCUCACCAAACUUGACACCAUUACGGGCCAAGAGCUCGGGGAAAACACAUCCAAGAGCACCAAGCAUAGCCCAUCUGCAGUGGAUCACCUCGAGUUCACGGUUCUUGGCAAAGGUUUCUGGGUCUGCUGAAAGUCCAGCGGUGUCCCAACCAUAGUCACCAGGGAAUUCACCGGUCAAGUAGCUUAGGGGCUCACCAGAGAGUGGGCCCAAGUACUUAACACGGUCUGGGCCAUACCAUGGGCUGCUAGAUGGUGCAGACUUGAGAGCCCUUCUCAUAGAGAUUCUUCCAUUUCCAGUGAUUUCUGAGGGAGAGGGUGAGAGUUUCACUGCCUGUCCAGCAAAAGAAGGGGAAGAAAGAGCCAUUGUAGAAGCUGCCAUGGUUUUUCUCAAGAGAAAGGUAAGUGUUUGAUGGUAUGAAAUAUUGUUGAAGUUGGCUGUGAUGAGGUGAAGUUAAUUACAAGGGGCUUCACCAUAUAUAGGAGGAGUAAGAGCGGUAGAGGCCUUUAUCUAACGAUAUCUACAUCUUUUUCUUUUGGUGUUAACGAUAUCUGUAUCUGUGAUCUCAUUGGGUAAUAAGAUCACAUGUGUAGAAAUUAAUGCACACUUGGCAAUCUCCAGACUCCAAUCCAUCAAUUUUCCAAGAUGUUUACUAAAGGGACCCAUCCAAUAUUGUCCUCCUUUGUGUGGAUACGAGGGUAUUGACUCUAUUCUGUGAUUUGUUGAGCUUACAAUAAGAUAUCUCUUAUCGUUAUCCAUUGGGAAUUUCUCCGGAUUUUAUCUAAUAGCUGGGAAUAAGUUACCAACACUAUAGCUCAUUCAAUGUAGAAGUAGAAACUAGAACUAUGUUUUAAGCAUUCCACUAAAUAAAUUGUGGAAAAACUGAAUUUUUUAAAUCAGAUUGUCAGUUACUAAUGUUUAUCAAAAGAUUAAUUUGUAGUAAUUACUUAAUAAGCAAAAGUGGAUCAGAAUUUGAACUUUUAUGGGUUCUGUAGUCUAGGACGACGACCUUAAAUUCUACUAAAUAGUUUCUAAAUUUAACUUUUCUACAUAUUUAAUAAGUUUAUUAAAACAUACAUGGUUUGGGCCAAAGUUAGUUCUGUCAAACCGGUUUGCUGAAGGGUACCUCUGCGCGUCCAUGUUAAUAAGUGAUAUGAUUGUGUUAUGCGUAAGUAUUUUUACAAUGUCAGUGCAUAGCGUCUCUAUAGGGUCGUCUAUACCUUGUAUCUUCUGCUUACAAUGUCCAUUUGGCUCUGAUCAUUGCUAUGUGAACAUGUUCUUCUCUAAAGAUAGUACCGCAUGCAUGUAAGGAAGGAGGACUACACAAGAAAUUCAAGAAUUUGUUCAAAUCUAAGAGGCUAAUUAAAUUAAGGGCACAUUAGUAUAAUGACCUGGAAACUCAUAUAUUACUUGCUACGUUCAUAUUACAAAACAUAUGCAUUGGUUUUCCCCUUAUCAUUUAAAUGUCAAUGGCCUACGUAGUAGUGAAAUAAUAUUAUGUCCUCUUAAUUUAUCUCACUUCUCUACAGGAAAAUAAGGAAUCAUGUAAAUAGCAUCAUGUUGUUCAUUGUUAUUCUUGGCACUAAGAGUAUUGCUUCAUGAGAAUUAAUUGAAUUUCAAGCUUUACCACAUCCAAAUGUAUCUUGGGUUUUUUGUUUUGGCUCUGUCAUCUUUUUUUCUCGCCUUGAUAUGAAACUGGCAGUAUUUUAUUCAUGCCAUUGGCAAAUGAAAUUCAGGACCAUACAAUAGUUGGAAUAUAAGAAAAAUCCAUUCUAUUGUUAAGUAAACUCACAAUUACAACUUUACAAGGACAUCAAACAAUGAAAUUUUAAGAUUGUUUUAUGAUAUUCAUUUUCCAGGAACAAAGUUUGUGGCGUAGGCCCAUGCGUUGUUGUUAACUGGAUCUGCAAGGUGGUCAGCGAGGUUUUCCAAUGGACCCUUUCCGGUAACAAUGGCCUGAACAAAGAAUCCGAACAUAGAGAACAUAGCAAGUCUACCGUUCUUGAUCUCCUUUACCUUGAGCUCAGCAAAUGCCUCUGGAUCAUCAGCAAGACCCAAUGGGUCAAAACUGCCCCGGGGUAUAGUGGGUCGACAACUUCACCAAGAGGCCCACCAGCAAUACGGUAUCCCUCAACGGCUCCCAUCAAGACAACUUGGCAAGCCCAGAUGGCCAAGAUGCUCUGUGCAUGAACCAAGCUUGGGUUGCCCAAGUAGUCAAGUCCACCCUCGCUGAAGAUUUGGGAUCCAGCCUUGAACCACACAGCCUCACCAAACUUGACACCGUUACGGGCCAACAGCUCGGGGAAGACACAUCCAAGGGCACCAAGCAUAGCCCAUCUGCAGUGGAUCACCUCGAGUUCUCGGUUCUUGGCAAAGGUUUCUGGAUCUGCUGAAAGUCCACCGGUGUCCCACCCGUAGUCACCAGGGAAUUCACCGGUCAAGUAGCUUGGGGCCUCACCGGAGAAUGGGCCCAAGUACUUAACACGGUCUGGGCCAUACCAUGGGCUGCCAGAUGAGGCAGGCUUGGUGACAGCCUUUCUCACAGAGAUCCUUCCAUUUCCAGUGAUUUCUGAGGCAGAGGGUGAGAGUUUCACUGCCUGUCCAGCAAAAGAAGGGGAAGAAAGAGCCAUUGUAGAAGCUGCCAUGGCUUAUCUCAAGAGAAAGGUAAGUGUUUGAUGGUAUAAAAUAUUGUUGAAGUUGGUUGUAAGGAUGCUGAAGUUAGUUGGGUUCAGAAUGUAUAGGGGUUAAGUAGAGAGAAAAAAUCCUCUUAUCUAGUGCUGUCUAUAGCUAUGAUUUCAUUGGGUAUCAAGAUCCCAUGUAUAGCAAUUAAUGCACUCUUGGCAAUCUCCAAUCCAUCAAUUUUCCAAGAUGUUCACUAAGGGGAACCCAACCAAUUUUGUCUUCCUAUAUGUGGCUGCAAAGCUUGAAAUCUAUUCUAUGAUUUCUUGAGCUUCAAUAUGAUAUCUCUUAUCCAUUGAGAAUUUCUCAAGAUUUUAUCCACCAGGAGUAUAGCUCAUUCAGUGUAGAACUAUGGCUUAGCAUUUCACUAAUUAAAUUGAGGAAAAGCUGAAAUUCAUUUGUAUCAGAUCAUCAAUUACUAAUGUUUGUCAAAAGAUUAACCUGUAAUUGCUUAAUAAGAAAAGGUGGAUCAAGAAUUGAACUUUAUGAGUUCUGAAAUCCUGGACUAGACCUUAAGUAGUAUAUCCUCCGCCUCAAUUUAUGUGACACAAUUGAAAUUUCGCGAGUCUACCAAGUUUUUUUUUGAUGGAAAUAUCUUUGUAUGUCUUUUAAAUAUUUCAAGUUGUUAAUUAUUGAUAGUAGUACUUUUUGUUUUUAGAUGACCGUGGUGUCCCAUACUUGCCACCUCCCACCAACAUGGGAUUUGAACCUAAAACCUUUGAGGUUCUCAACCCACUUCAUUGACCAUUAGACCUUGGGUGCAUUGUGAUUUACAGUAUUGUUUUAAUAGUUUCCAAGUACAUAGAUUUUAUUUCAAAAAACUUAAAACUUUUGUGUCCAAAUUGACUGUUAAAAGUUUGAAUUUUGAAAUUCCUACCGUGCCACAUAACAGAGGGAGUAAUAAAAAGAUUCUGAAUUUGAUGUACAUACAUAUUUAAUGGUUUUUGUAACACAUAUACAUAAUUUGGGCCAAAGCUACUUGGUUCUAUCAAACAGUAUGCUGAAGGCUACCCCUGCACCUGUUAAUAAGUGAUAUGAUUGUAUUUAGUAUUUUUUAUAAUGUUAAUGCAUAGAACUUAAUUUCCUUUGUAGUAAGUUUCAUGUAUAGCUUACUUUUAUCUUCUUCUUACUAUGUCCUUUUGGCUCUGGUCAUUACUAUGUGCCAUGUUUCGAAGGAUGCCUGCCUCUGUUAAAUAAGCCGUCACACAGGCAUGCAAGGAAGGAAGGAAGAGUAUACAAGAAAUUUAUGGAUUUGUUCAAAUAAAAGAUGCUAAUUAAAUUAACGUACACGUAAACCUAAGUAUUAUGACCUGGAAACUCAUAUAGCAGUACUUGCUACAUUCAGACCACAAAAAUAUUGGUUUUCCCUUUUAACUGAAAUGUCAUUGGUCUAGUAGUAAAAUAAUAUGAUGAUCCUCUUUCACUUCUUGACAGAAAAAUGAGUAAUAAUGUAAUAACAUCAUAUCGUUCAACAUUAUUCUUUGCACUCAUUUUGAGUAUUGCUUCUUGAGAAUUAAUUGAAUUCCAUUAGUUCCUCCGGUCUGAAAAAUGUAAGUUUUAGCUUUUAACAGCUUUAUAACUUUUCUAGUUACCAUAUCCCAAUUGUAGCUUCGGUCUUUUUCUGCUAUGCUCUUCUUCGUUUUUCCUUUGGUAUGAAAGUGGCAAUAUAUGAUUCAUGUCUUUGGAAAGUGAAACUCAGAACUAGACCGUCAAUGGAAAAUAACAAACAUUUAUUCUAUUGUCAACUCACUCACAACAACUUUACAAGGCCAUCAAACAAUCAAAUUUUAAGAAUUAUAUUAUGAUAUUCAUUUUCCAGGAACAAAGUUUGUGGCGUAGGCCCAGGCAUUGUUGUUAACCGGAUCUGCUAGAUGGUCAGCAAGGUUCUCCAAUGGACCCUUUCCUGUAACAAUGGCCUGAACAAAGAAUCCAAACAUAGAGAACAUAGCAAGUCUACCGUUCUUGAUCUCCUUUACCUUGAGCUCAGCAAAUGCCUCUGGAUCAUCAGCAAGACCUAAUGGGUCAAAGCUGCCACCGGGAUAGAGUGGGUCGACAACCUCGCCAAGAGGCCCACCAGCAAUACGGUAUCCCUCAACGGCUCCCAUCAAGACAACUUGGCAAGCCCAGAUGGCCAAGAUGCUCUGUGCAUGGACCAAACUUGGGUUGCCCAAGUAGUCAAGUCCACCCUCGCUGAAUAUCUGGGAUCCAGCCUUGAACCACACAGCCUCACCAAACUUGACACCAUUACGGGCCAAGAGCUCGGGGAAAACACAUCCAAGAGCACCAAGCAUAGCCCAUCUGCAGUGGAUCACCUCGAGUUCACGGUUCUUGGCAAAGGUUUCUGGGUCUGCUGAAAGUCCAGCGGUGUCCCACCCGUAGUCACCGGGAAAUUCACCGGUCAAGUAGCUUGGAGACUCACCUGAGAAUGGACCCAAGUACUUGACACGGUCUGGCCCAUACCAUGGGCUGCCAGAUGAGGCUGGCUUGGAGACAGCCUUUCUCAUAGAGAUCCUUCCAUUUCCAGUGAUUUCUGAGGCAGAGGGUGAGAGUUUCACUGCCUGUCCAGCAAAAGAAGGUGAAGAAAGUGCCAUUGUAGAAGCUGCCAUGGCUUAUCAAGAGAAAAGUAAGUGUUUGAUGGUAUGAAAUAUUGUUGAAGUUGGCUGUGAUGAGGUGAAGUUAAUUGCAAUUAAUGCACUCCUGAGAAUCUCCAAUCUAUCAAUUUUCCAAUAUGUUUAUAAAGGGGGACCUAACCAAUUUUGUCCUCCUAUAUGUGGCUGCAAGGCUUGAAAUCUAUUCUAUGAUUUCUUGAGCUUCAAUAUGAUAUCUUUUAUCCAUUGGGAAUUUCUCAAGAUUUUAUCCACCAUGACUAUAGUUCAUUCAGAGUAGAACUAUGUCUUAGUAUUUCACUAAAUAAAUUGAGGAAAAGCUGAAAUUCAUUUGUAUCAUAUUAUCAAUUACAAAUGUUUGUCAAAGAUUAACCUGUAAUUGCUUAAUAAGAAAAGGUGGAUCAAGAUUUGAACUUUAUGAGUUCAGUUCUGAAAUCUAGGACUAGACCUUAAGUAGUAUACCCUCCGUCCCAAUGUAUGUGGCACAAUUGGAAUUUCGAGAGUCAAUCAAAUUUUUCUUUGAUGAAAAUUCUUUGUCUUUUAAAUAUUUCAAGUUGUUAAUUAUUGUGAUUUGUUGUAGUACUUUUUAUUUUUAGAUAACCGUGGUGUGAGGUAUUUGCCACCUCCCACCAACAUGGGAUUUGAACAUAAGACCUUAAUCCACUUCAUGGACCAUUAAGCCAUAACCUUGGGUGCAUUGUGAUUUAUAGUAUUGUUUACAUAGUUUCCAAGUACAUAAACUUUAUUCUUCAAAAAACUUAAAACUUUUUUGUCUAAAUUGAUUGUCAAAGUUUAAAAGUUUGAGUUUCGAAAUUCUGAUUGUGCCACAUAAAUAAAACAGUGGGAGUAGUAAAUAGAUUCUGAAUUUGAUUUAUAUAUCUAUUUAAUGAUUUUUUUAACACAUAUACAUAAUUUGGAUCAAGGCUACUUGGUUCUGUCAAACAGUAUGCUGAAGGCUACGUCUGCCCCUGUCAAAUAAGUGAUCUAAUUUUAUUAAUAUUUUUUAUAAUGCCAAUGCAUAGAACUUAAUUUCCUUUGUAGUAAGUGUCAUGUAUAUCUACUUUUAUCUUCUUCUUACUAUGUCCUUUUGGCUCUGGUCAUUACUAUGUGCCAUGUUUCGAAGGAUGCCUGCCUCUGUUAAAUAAGCCGUCACACAGGAAUGCAAGGAAGGAAGAGUAUACAAGAAAUUUAUGAAUUUGUUCAAAUUAAAGAUGCUAAUUAAAUUAACGUACACGUAAACCUAAGUAUUAUGACCUGGAAACUCAUAUAGUAGUACUUGCCAGUAGGGCUGGGCAUAUUUUGGUUUAAACCGAAAAAACUGAAAAAUCAAAUCGAAAUUUUAAUUUCGAUUUAGUUUUUCGAUUUCUUGGAUCGGUUUUGAUUUUCAAUUUUUGAAAUUCGGUUAAACGGUUUGGUGUUCAUUUUUUCAAAAAACAAAAAAUUUGGAUAAACCGAUUAACCGAAAUUCUAUAAAUAAUUAAUAAUAUAUAUAUAUAUUAUUUAAUAUAUAAUAAAAUAAUAUAAAUAUAUAAUAGCCACCCUAAUAACUAAUAAGUAAUAGCACGCCACAUACAGCUAAAAACAUACAUCAGUCCAAUAUUAGAACAAUCGAUUGAACCAUCGACCGCCAGCGAGAUCGUCGUCUGUACAACGACACUAGAGCGGGCGACCAGACGACCACUGUGGGCUGCAGCCUGCAGCGCCGUCUGUGGUCUUUCCGGCAGCGACCACUCUUCCGAGUUUCGACUGUUUAUGCAAACUUAUGUUAUUUUCGUUUGUACUUCGGGUACACAGAAUCUGUAUAUGCAGAAACAGCAACUUCAACUAAAGUUCAAGUAUAUAAACAAGAACACAAUGAAGUAUAUCAAAUACCCUCAACACAAGAUCAAAAUGACCUUUCCAAGAGGUGUAUUUUAUUUUUCAGAAAAUAGAUGAAACAGAAAUGAAUAAGACCAAGCAGUCCGAAUUCACGGACUUUCCUUAAGGAAUAAUGCCCCUCACUGUAUCCGAGGUUAUGGAAUCUUCCUCCCAGGAUAAAAUGGCCUUCAAUCCGACUAUAGCGGUACCUCAAAUAAGCGGAUUCUUCAAACACACAGAACGCUUUGAUUGAUCACACAGAAUAUUUGUAAAGAAAAGAAGAGAGUUUUUAUUCUGCAAAAUUUUUAUAUCAAAACCUGUAAAGGUAAGCAGGUUUAUAUAGCCUAGCAAAUGCCUCUUCGAAAAGGUGGCAUUGGUUCACUUAAAUGGUGUGAUAUUUCUGAAAAUGCAUGUCUGCAACAUUUUUGCUGAAGCAGUAUACCAUUUCACCAAACAGUGCACCUGUUCGAAACAGUACAUCACUUCAUUGAAGAAUUGUAUCUGUUCAGUCGAAGCAAAAAUAGUAUAUCAGUUCAGUGCAUGCAUCAGUUCAGUCAAAACGAAACAGUACAUCAGUUCAGUCAAAACAGUGCAUCAUUUCUGUUGAAACAUUGCAUCUAUUACAGUUACUACAUGUAUUUCGUUAAAUAAAGUUUGUCCAAAAAAGAUAGAUCUCAUCGAUCUAUCAUUUUCCAAAUUCGAAUCCAAAUUCGAAGCCGAGAGAGCGACGACGACGACGGCACGAGGCAUCUCUUAUUUCUUGCCUCACUUAUCAUGUGGAGUAAGUAUUCAUCAUUAUAAACACUCCAAAGUUCCCUUCUCCCAUAAAUGUGGGAGAAUUAGUGAACUUUUUAAUUUUGGGAGUAUACUUUCCAAAUUGGUGUCUCCUCUUCUCCACCAUUUUUUUCUCUAUUUUCCAUUCACACUUUUAUGAAACUAACAAUCCCCCACAUGAAUGGGGAAUGGCUAUUUUUUGUAAAAAUUUUACGGACAAGAAUAUGAUCAUCAAGCAAAGACUGAUUUCAUCUGGAUAAGUGGGUUUCCCUUUGAACUUUCCGUAGUGAACAUGCAUCAGAUGCACUCGGUAAAUUGAUAGAUUUGAUAUCUUUGAACCGUCGAGCUUUAAUGUACACCUAGACAACACAUAUCACACAACCAUCCUUUUAACAUUUAUGGUUCUUACAAUUUUGUUCUUUUCAUCCAUGAACACGUCCCGGUUUUCAUGAGGGCUUAGAGAAUAGGCCUUUACUAACAUUCUCCUUGAAGCGGCUUUCACUUCACCCUUACAUAGGUGAUUUCUAAACGUUCUAUCCUGCAGAUUAAAAUAUUUGGUCAAAUCUGCCAAAUUUAGAUAAUCAUUAAAAGACUUUUCACCUUAAGUUUUAUCCUAGUUUACUAUACAUUAUCUACAUCAUGAGAAUGGGUUGGGUAAUUGACAAUGUUGAACCUGUCAGACACAACUUUGUUUGAUCUCCUUUAACCUAGUUGGGAUCGCCAGUCUGCUAGGUAGAGUUAUCGCUAUGCUGACUCGUCCUAGGCCUUAAACCCAUUCUCUUGGAUGUUCUUUCCACUCCUUCUCUAGAUAGGCCUUUUGUAAGUGGAUCCGACACAUUAUCAUUUGACUUUACAUAGUCAAUAAUGAUAAUUCCACUAGAGAGAAUUUCCCUAACGGUAUUAUGUCUCCGUCGUACGUGACGAGAUUUACGGUUGUACAUCAUGCUCCCUGCCCUACCUAUUGCCGCUUGGCUAUCAUAGUGUAUACAUACUGGUGCCACUGGUUUGGGCCAAUACAAAAUAUCUCCCAAGAAAUUUCGGAGCCAUUCUGCUUCUUCACCAGCUUUAUCUAAUGCGAUAAAUUCAGAUUCCAUUGUAGAGCGAGUGAUACAAGUCUGUUUGGAUGAUUUCCAAGAAAUUGCUCCUCCACCGAUAGUAAAUACAUAUCCACUUGUGGAUUUUACUUCGUUCGAUCCGGUGAUCCAAUUUGUAUCACUAUGUCCUUCAAGUACCGCAGGAUAUUUAUUAUAAUGCAAAGCAUAGUUUUGAAUGUAUUUUAAGAUACCCCAAAACUCUUUUCAUUGCCAUCCAAUGAGUUUUGUUGGGAUUACACCUGUACCGACUCAAUUUUGUAGUUGCACAUGCUAUGUCCGGUUGUGUACAGUUCAUUAUAUACAUUAAAAAUCCCAAUACUCUUGCGUACUCCAAUUGUGAAUCACUUUCACCUUCAUUCUUUCGAAGUGCAAAGUUCACGUCCAAUGGAGUCAUGGCAAUACCGAAUUCCAUAUCCUUGAACUUGUCAAGUACUUUUUCGAUAUAAUGAGACUGUGACAAUGCUAACCCUUGUGGAUUUUGAUGGAUUCUUAUACCUAAGAUUACAUCUGCAACUCCAAGGUCUUUCAUAUCAAACUUGCUCUCGAGCAUUCGUUUGAUUGCAUUUAUGUCACAAAUAUAUCUGCUGAUGAUCAACAUAUCAUCCACAUAUAAACAAACAAUGACUUGGUGAUUUGGUGUGUCUUUAAUAUAUAAACAUUUGUCACAUUCAUUUAUCUUGAAUCCAUUUGCCAACAUGGUUUGGUCAAACUUUGCAUAUCAUUGCUUAGGUGCUUGUUUUAGUCCAUAAAGUGACUUAACAAGUUUACACACCUUAUUUUCUUUUCCUGGCACCACAAAACCCUCAGGUUGUUCCAUGUAUAUUUCUUCCUCCAAAUCUCCAUUUAGGAAUGCGUUCUUCACAUCUAUUUGAUGGAUUUGAAAAUCAUAUACCACCACCAAGCCAAUUAACAUUCAAAUCGAGGUUAUCCUUGUUACUGGUGAGUAUGUAUCAAAGUAAUCAAGGCCUUCCUUCUGUUUGAAGCCUUUUACUAUAAGUCUUGCCUUGUAUUUGUCAAUUGUACUAUCUGCCUUCAUUUUUCUUUUGAAGAUCCAUUUAGAACCUAACGGUUUAUUUCCUGGAGAAAGGUCAACCAAUUUCCAUGUAUGGUUGCUUAAGAUUGAAUCUAUCUCACUAUUGACUGCCUCUUUCCAAAAGGAUGAGUCUGACGAUGGCAUCGCUUCUUUAAAUAUUUGAGGCUUAUUUUCUUAGAGAAAUGUUACAAAAUCUGAUCCAAAUGAAGUUGACAUUCUUUGAUGUGUACUAUGUCUUGGAUUUUCUUCAUUAUGUACAUUCUCACUUGGUUCAUCUCGAGGUCGCUUAGAUCCUCCACUAAACUGUUCAUGUCUAAUUUUAUACGGGUAAAUAUUUUUAAAGAAUUCAGCAUUGUCUGAUUCAAUAAUUGUAUUUUCAUUAAUAUCCGAAUGUUUGAAUUUAUGAACCAAAAAUCGACAUGCUUUACUACUUUUAGCAUAUCCUAUGAACACACAGUCCACUGUUUUAGGUCCUAUCUUAACCCUUUUAGGUACAGGAACUUGAACCUUCACUAGACACCCCCACACUUUGAAAUAUUCAAGCUGGGUUUCCUUCUUUUCCAUUUUUCGUAAGGAAUUGAUUGUGUCUUACUAUGGAAAACUCUGUUGAGUAUACGAUUGGCCAUAAGAAUAGCCUCCCAUCAUAAGUUUUGUGGUAAAGCAGAACUUAUAAGUAAGGCAUUCAUCAUUUCCUUCAAAUUUCGUUUUUUCCUUUCCGCAAUUCCAUUAGAUUGAGGUGAAUAUGGGGCCGUAGAUUGAUGGAUUAUUCCAUUCUCUACACAUAUUUGCGCAAAGGGAGAUUUAUAUUCUCCGCCCCUAUCACUUCUUAUCAUUUUGAUCUUUUUNNNNNNNNNNNNNNNNNNNNNNNNNNNNNNNNNNNNNNNNNNNNNNNNNNNNNNNNNNNNNNNNNNNNNNNNNNNNNNNNNNNNNNNNNNNNNNNNNNNNNNNNNNNNNNNNNNNNNNUAAACGCAUCUAUUGCUUCAUCCUUACUAUUUAUCGAGUAGACAUAACAGUAUCUAGUGCAAUCGUCAAUAAAAGUUAUGAAAUAUUUUUUCCCACCACGAGAUGGUGUUGACGUUAUAUCACAAAUGUCAGUGUGUAUUAAGUCUAAGGGAUUGGAAUUCCUUUCAACGGACUUAUAAGGAUGCUUUGCAUACUUCGAUUCCACACACGUUUGACACUUUGAUUUAUUGCACUCAAAGUUUGGCAAAACUUCUAAGCUAAUCAGUUUUCAUAACGUUUUAUAAUUAACAUGGCCUAAACAUUCAUGCCAUAAUAAGACUCAAGAAAAUAAGAAGAAUUCAAACUUUUAUUUAUUUCAACAGUCAUUACAUUCAUCUUAUAAAGUCCUUCGGUCAAAUAGCCUUUUCCUACAUACAUUUAUCCUUUGCUAAUUACAAUUUUUUCAGAAACGGUUACACAUUUGAAUCCGUUCUUGUCUAGAAGUGAAACAGAAAUUAAAUUCCUACGUAAAUACGGAACAUACAAGACAUUGUUAAGUGUCAAGACCUUUCCGGAAGUCAUAUUUAAGAAAAUUUUUCCUAUUCUUUCUACCUUAGCCGUAGCGGAGUUAGCCAUGUAGAUCAUUUCUUCUACUUGAGCAGAAGCAAAUAACGAAAACAGCUCCUUGUUGGCACAUACAUGGCGGGUGGCACCAGAAUCCAUCCACCCUUCACUAGGAUUCCCCGUCAAGUUGCAUUCUGAGAACAUAGCACACAGAUCAUCGAAUUCUUUGUUGGAUUCAAUCAUAUUUGCUUGAUCCUUCUUCUUUCCUUUCUUUGGGGCACGACAAUCUGUGGACUUGUGGCCAAUCUUGCCACAGUUGAAGCAUUUUCCCUUGAACUUUUUCUUGGUUUGAUUGCUUCCUUGUUUAGCUUUCUUCCUUUUCUUGAAAUUGUUUUGGUCAUCUUCUACAAUAUGUGCUCCAUUAAUUGUAGAAUUCCUCUUUGACCUUCUUUCGGAAGCUUUAUUAUCCUCUUCAAUACGAAGUCGGACAAAAAGUUCUUCAACAGUCAUCUCCUUGCGUUUAUGCUUUAAGUAGUUUUUGAAGUCUUUCCACAAAGGUGGUAGCUUCUCAACUAUCACUGCUACUUGGAAAUCAUCAUUCACAAUUAAACCUACAAUACAGUUUAUGUGAGUAUUAAGAACAUUUUUAAUUUGUUCAACUAAGGUAUUUUUCAAAGAUAUACCUUCUGCUAAGAGAUCAUGUAUGAUGACUUGCAACUCCUNNNNNNNNNNNNNNNNNNNNNNNNNNNNNNNNNNNNNNNNNNNNNNNNNNNNNNNNNNNNNNNNNNNNNNNNNNNNNNNNNNNNNNNNNNNNNNNNNNNNNNNNNNNNNNNNNNNNNNNNNNNNNNNNNNNNNNNNNNNNNNNNNNNNNNNNNNNNNNNNNNNNNNNNNNNNNNNNNNNNNNNNNNNNNNNNNNNNNNNNACAUAAAGUGGUGAGGUAAAAGAACAUCUUUUGCUGCCACCGCUUGAAGUCAAUGCUUGAAAAUAUUUUGGGCUACUCCGUCAGUGCCAUUGUUGGCGGAGCAUUUGUGUGACUUGAUGUGGCAAUAUUAGUUACCCCCAUAGACGUUGUCGCAUCUAUUAUUUCACUUUCGUUAGUCAUCUUUCCUGUCAACACAAGACAGAAAAAUUUAGUAUUUUCAGAAUAUUACUUAUAAAGUUAAAUAACUUUUCAACUUUUCUUCUUGUUUCUAAUUAACGACGAAGCUUUUAUAACUUCAAAUCGUCAACUGAGUGAACUUUAACUUGUGAUGAAGAUUUUAUGUCUUCUAAUCACUAGUUAAAUUCAAGCGGAGUAAAAAGUUUAAAGCUUUAAUCUCCAAAAACAAGUUAUACAGAUUCUGUAAAAGGAAUUAUUCCUUAAGAUUCUUAUUUUUGUUUUACUUUGGGUACACAGAAUUUGUAUAUGCAGAAACAACAACUUCAACUAAAGUUCAAGUUUAUAAACAAGAACACAAUGAAGUAUAUCAAAUACCCUCAACACAAGAUCAAAAUGACCUUUCCAAGAGGUAUAUUUUAUUUUUUAGAAAAUAGAUGAAACAGAAAUGAAUAAGACCAAGUCGUCCGAAUUCAUGGACUUUUCUUAAGGAUUAAUUCCCCUCACUGUAUCCGAGGUUAUGGAAUCUUCCUCCCAGGAUAAAAUGGCCUUCAAUCCGACUAUAGCGGUACCUCAAAUAGGCGGAUUCUUCGAACACACAGAACGUUUUGAUUGAUCACACAGAAUCUUUGUAAAGAAAAGAAGAGAGUUUUUAUUCUGAAAAUUUUUUAUAUCAAAACCUGUGAAGAAAAGCAUGUUUAUAUAGCCUAGCAGAUGCCUCUUCAAAAAGGUGGCAUUUGUUCACUUAAAUGGUGUGAUGUUUCUGAAAAUGCAUGUCUGCAGCACUUUUACUGAAGCAGUAUACCAUUUCACCAAAUAGUGCACCUGUUCAAAAUAGUACAUCACUUCAUUAAAGAAUUGCAUCUGUUCAGUCGAAGCAAAAACAGUAUAUCAGUUCAGUGCAUGCAUCUGUUCAGUCGAAAAGAAAUAGUACAUCAGUUUAGUCAAAAUAGUGCAUCAAUUCUGUCGAAACAUUGCAUCUGUUACUAUUACUAAAUGCAUAUAAAUGGAGUAUUUAUCAGAUUUCAUCAAAUAAAAUUUAUCCAAAAAGACAGAUAUCAUCGAUCGAUCAUUUUCCAAAUCCAAAUCCAAAUCUGAAGUCGAGCGACCGACGACAACAGUGGCGCGAGGAAUCUCUUAUUUCUUGCCUCACUUAUCAUGUGGAGUAAGUAUUCAGCAUUAUAAACACUCCAAAGUUUCUUUCUCCCACCAAUGUGGGAGAAUUAGUGAACUUUCCAAUUUUGGGAGUACACUUUCCAAAUUGGUGUCUCCUCUUCUCCAUAAUUUUUUUCUCCAUUUUCCAUUCACACUUCUAUGAACCCAACAAUCCCCCAUAUGAAUGGGGAAUAUAUAUUUUUCGUAAAACUUUUACGGACAAGAAUGUGAUCAUCAAGCAAAGACUGAUUCCAUCUGGAUAAGUGGGUUUCCCUUUGAACUUUCCGUAGUGAACAUGCAUCGGAUGCACUCGGUCAAUUGGUAGAUUUGAUAUCUUUGAACCGUUGAGCUUUAAUGUACACCUAGAUAACACAUGUCACACAACCAUCCUUUAACGUUUAUGGUUCUAACAAUUUUAUUCUUUUCAGUCAUGAACACGUCCCGGUUUUCAUGAGAGCUUAGAGAAUAGGCCUUUACUAAUAUUCGCCUUGAAGCAGCUUCCACUUCGCCCUCACAUAAGUGAUUUCUAAACGUUCAAUCCUGUAGAUUAAACUAUUUGGUCAAAUCUGUCAAAUUUAGAUAAUCAUUAAAAGACUUUUCACCUUAAGUCUUAUCCUAGUUUACUAUACAUUGUCUACAUCAUGAGAAUGGGUUGGGUAAUUGACAAUGUUGAACCUGUCAGACACGACUUUGUUUGAUCUCCUUGAACCUAGCUCUUGGGAUCUCCAGUCUGCUAGAUAGAGUUACCGCCACGUUGACUCAUCCUAGGCCUUAAACCCAUUCCCUUGGAUGUUCUUUCCACUCCUUAUCUAGAUAGGCCUUUUGUAAGUGGAUCCAACACAUUAUCCUUUAACUUUACAUAGUUAAUAGUGAUAAUUCCACUAGAGAGAAUUUCCCCAACGGUAUUAUGUCUCCGUCGUAUGUGAUGAGAUUUAUGGUUGUACAUCAUGCUCCCUGCCCUACCUAUUGCCGCUUGGCUAUCACAGUGUAUACAUACUGGUGCCACUGGCUUGGGCCAAUACAAAAUAUCUCCCAAGAAAUUUCGGAGCCAUUCUGCUUCUUCACCAGCUUUAUCUAAUGCGAUAAAUUCAGAUUCCAUUGUAGAGCGAGUGAUACAAGUCUGUUUGGAUGAUUUCCAAGAAACUGCUCCUCCACCGAUAGUAAAUACAUAUCCACUUAUAGAUUUUACUUCGUUUGAUCCGGUGAUCCGAUUUGCAUCACUAUGUCCUUCAAGUACCGCAGGAUAUUUAUUAUAAUACAAAACAUAGUUUUGAAUGUAUUUAAGAUACCCCAAAACUCUUUUCAUUUUCAUCCAAUGAGUUUUGUUGGGAUUACUCCUAUACCGACUUAAUUUACUAAUUGCACAUGCUAUGUCUGGUCGUGUAUAGUUCAUUAUAUACAUUAAACAUCCCAAUACUCUUGCAUAUUCCAAUUAUGAGUCAUUUUCACCUUCAUUCUUUUGAAGUGCAAAGUUCACAUCCAAUGGAGUCUUGACAAUACCGAAUUCCAUAUCCUUGAACUUGUCAAGUAAUUUUUUGAUAUAAUGAGACUAUAACAAUGCUAACCUUUGUGGAUUUUGAUGGAUUCUUAUACCUAAGAUCACAUCUGUAACUCUAAGGUCUUUCUUAUCAAACUUGCUCUAGGGCAUUCGUUUGGUUGCAUUUAUGUCACAAAUAUCUCUGCUGAUGAUCAACAUAUCAUCCACAUAUAAACAAACAAUGACUUGGUGAUUUGGUGUGUCUUUAAUAUAUAAACAUUUGUCACAUUCAUUUAUCUUGAAUCCGUUCGCCAACAUGAUUUGGUCAAACUUUGCAUGCCAUUGCUUAGGUGUUUGUUUUAGUCCAUAAAGUGACUUAACAAGUUUACAUACCUUAUUUUUUUUUUCUGAAACCAUAAAACCUUCAGGUUGUUCCAUGUAUAUUUCUUCCUCCAAAUCUCCAUUUAGGAAUGCGGUCUUUACAUCCAUUUAAUAGAUUUGAAGAUCAUAUACCGCCGCCAAGGCAAUUAACAUUCGAAUCAAGGUUAUCCUUGUUACUGGUGAGUAUGUAUCAAAGUAAUCAAGGCUUUCUCUUUCUGUUUGAAGCCUUUUACUACAAGUCUUGCCUUGUAUUUGUCAAUAGUACCAUCCGCCUUCAUUUUCCUUUGGAAGAUCCAUUUAGAACCUAACGGUUUAUUUUCGGGAAGAAGGUCAACCAAUUUCUAUGUAUGGUUGCUUAAGAUUGAAUCUAUCUCACUAUUGACUGCCUCUUUCCAAAAGAAUGAGUCUGACGAUGGCAUCGCUUCUUUAAAUGUUUGAGGCUUAUUUUCUUAGAGAAAUGUUACAAAAUCUGAUCCAAAUGAAGUUGACGUUCUUUGACGUGUACUACGUCUUGGAUUUUCUUCAUUAUGUACAUUCUCACUUGGUUCAUCUCGAGGUCGUUUAGAUCCUUCACUAGACUGUUCAUGUCUAAUUUAUACGAAUAAAUAUUUUUAAAGAAUUCAGCAUUAUCUGAUUCAAUUAUCGUAUUUUCAUUAAUAUCCGGAUGUUUGGAUUUAUGAACCAUAAAUUGACAUGCUUUACUAUAUUUAGCAUAUCCUAUGAACACACAGUCUACCAUUUUAGGUCCUAUCUUAAUCCUUUUAGGUAUAGGAACUUGAACCUUCGCUAGACACCCCCACACUUUAAAAUAUUCAAGUUGGGUUUCCUUCCUUUCCAUUUUUUUUAAGGAAUUGAUUGUGUCUUACUAUGAGGAACUCUGUUGAGUACACGAUUGGCCAUAAGGAUAGCCUCCCAUCAUAAGUUUUGUGGUAAACCAGAACUUAUAAGUAAAGCAUUUAUCAUUUCCUUCAAAGUUUGGUUUUUCCUUUCCGCAAUUCCAUUAGAUUGAGGUGAAUAUAGGACCAUAGUUUGAUGGAUUAUUCCAUUCUCUACACAUAUUUGCGCAAAGGGAGAUUCAUAUUCUCCGCCCCUAUCACUUUUUAUUAUUUUGAUCUUUUUGUCUAAAUGAUUUUCAACUUCAGUUUUAAUUGCCUAAAUGCAUCUAUUUCUUCAUCCUUACUAUUUAGCAAGUAGACAUAACAAUAUCUAGUGCAAUCGUCAAUACAAGUUAUGAAACAUUUUUUCCCACCACGUAAUGGUGUUGACUUCAUAUCACAAAUGUCAGUGUGUAUUAAGUCUAAGGGAUUAGAAUUUCUUUCAACGAACUUAUAAGGAUGCUUUGCAUACUUUGAUUCCACACACGUUUAACACUUUGAUUUAUUACACUCAAAGUUUGGCAAAACUUCUAAGUUAAUCAAUUUUCGUAACGUUUUGUAAUUAGCAUGGCCUAAACGUUCAUUCCAUAAAUCAUAACACUCAAGCAAAUAAGAAGAAUUCAAACUUUUAUUUAUUUCAACAGUCAUUACACUCAUAUUAUAAAGGCCUUCGGUCAGAUAGCCUUUUCCUACAUACAUUUCUCCUUUGCUCAUUACAAUUUCUCCAUAAAUGGUUACACAUUUGAAUUCGUUCUUCUCUAGAAGUUAAACAGAAAUUAAAUUCCUACGUAAAUACGGAACAUACAAGACAUUGUUAAGUGUCAAGACCUUUCCGAAAGUCAUAUUUAAUCAAAUUUUUCCUAUUCUUUCUACCUUAGCCGUAGCGGAGUUAGCCAUGUAGGGAGCGAAUGACGAAAACAACUCCUUGUUGGCACAUACAUGGCGGGUGGCACCAGAAUCCAUUCACCAUUCGCAAAGAUUCCCCAUCGAGUUGCAUUCUGAGAACAUAGCACACAGAUCAUCGCAUUCUUUAUUGGAUUCAAUCAUAUUUGCUUGAUCCUUCUUCUUGCCUUUCUUUGGGGCACGACAAUCUGUGGACUUGUGGCCAAUCUUGUCACGGUUGAAGCAUUUUCCCUUGAACUUUUUCUUAGGUUGAUUGCUUCCUUAUUCAGCUUUCUUCCUUUUCCUGAAAGUAUUUUAGUCAUCUUCUACAAUAUGUGCUCCAUUAAUUGUAGAAUUCCUCUUUGACCUUCUUUCGGCAGCUUUAUUAUCCUCUUCAAUACGAAGUUGGACAAUAAGAUCUUCAAUAGUCAUCUCUUUGCGUUUAUGCUUUAAGUAGUUUUUGAAGUCUUUCCACAAAGGUUGUAGUUUCUCAAAUAUCAUUGCUACUUGAAAAGCAUCAUUCACAAUUAAACCUACAAAAUAGUUUAUGUGAGUAUUAAGAACAUUUUUAGUUUGUUCAACUAAGGUAUUUUUCAAAGAUAUACCUUCUGCUAAGAGAUCAUGUAUGAUGACGUGCAACUCCUGUACUUGAGAGACAAAAGAUUUGCUAUCUAUUAUUUUGAAGUCCAAGAACUGUGCAACAAGAAAUUUUUUAAUUCCCGCAUCCUCCGUCUUAUAUUUUCGUUCAAGCGCCCCCCACAGUUCCUUUGAUGUCUUGGUUCCACUAUAAACAUUGUAGAGGUCGUCUUGGAAACUACUCAAAAUAUAAUUCCUGCAAAGAAAGUCCGAAUGUUUCCAAGCUUCUACAAUAACGAAGCGUUCUUUGUCCGAGGUUCCCUCGGGCACCUCAGGAGCGUCUUCGCUAGUGAACCAUUGCAAACAUAAAGUGGUGAGGUAAAAGAACAUCUUUUGCUGCCACCGCUUGAAGUCAAUGCUUGAAAAUAUUUUGGGCUACUCCGUUGGUGCCAUUGUUGGCGGAGCAUUUGUGUGACUUGAUGUGGCAAUAUUAGUUACCCCCAUAGACGUUGUCGCAUCUAUUAUUUCACUUUCGUUAGUCAUCUUUCCUGUCAACACAAGACAGAAAAAUUUAGUAUUUUCAGAAUACUACUUAUAAAGUUAAAUAACUUUUUAACUUUUCUUCUUGUUUCUAAUUAACACUGAAGUUUUUAUAACUUCAAAUCGUCAACUGAGUGAACUUUAACUUGUGAUGAAGAUUUUAUGUCUUCUAAUCACUAGUUAAAUUCAAGCGGAGUAAAAAGUUUAAAGCUUUAAGCUCCAAAAACAAGUUAUACAGAUACUAUAAAAGGAAUUAUUCCUUAAGAUUCUUAUUUUCGUUUAUACUUCGGGUACACAGAAUCUGUAUAUGCAGAAACAACAACUUCAACUAAAGUUCAAGUAUAUAAACAAGAACACAAUGAAGUAUAUCAAAUACCCUCAACACAAGAUCAAAAUGAUCUUUCCAAGAGGUAUAUUUUAUUUUUCAGAAAAUAGAUGAAAGAGAAAUGAAUAAGACCAAGUCGUCCAAAUUCACGGACUUUACUUAAGGAAUAAUUUCCCUCAUUGUACUCGAGGUUAUGGAAUCUUCCUCCCAGGAUAAAACGGCCUUCAAUCCUACUAUAGCGGUACCUCAAAUAGGCGGAUUCUUUGAACGCACAGAACGUUUUGAUUGAUCACACAGAAUAUUUGUAAAUAAAAGAAGAGAGUUAUUAUUUUGAAAAUUUUUAUAUCAAAACCUGUGAAGGAAAGCAUGUUUAUAUAGCCUAGCAGAUGCCUCUUCGAAAAGGUGGCAUUUGUUCACUUAAAUGGUGUGAUGUUUCUGAAAAUGCAUGUCUGCAGCACUUUUGCUGAAGCAGUAUACCAUUUCACCAAAUAGUGCACCUGUUCAAAAUAGUACAUCACUUCAUUAAAGAAUUGCAUCUGUUCAGUCGAAGCAAAAACAGUAUAUCAGUUCAGUGCAUGCAUCUGUUCAGUCGAAAAGAAAUAGUACAUCAGUUCAGUUGAAAUAAUGCAUCAGUUUUGUCGAAACAUUGUAUCUGUUACUGUUACUAAAUGCAUAUAAAUGGAGUAUUGAUCAGAUUUCAUCAAAUAAAGUUUGUCCAAAAAGAUAGAUCUCAUUGAUCGAUCAUUUGACAAAUCCAAAUCCAAAUCCGAAGCUGAAGCCGAGCGAACGAUGACGAUGACGACGCGAGGCAUCUCUUAUCAUGUGAAGUAAGUAUUCAUCAUUAUAAACACUCUAAAUUUUCCUUCUCCCACCAAUGUGUGAGAAUUAGUGAACUUUUUAAUUUUGGGAGUACACUUUCCAAAUUGGUGUCUCCUCUUCUCCACCAUUUUUUUCUCUAUUUUCCAUCCACACUUCUAUGAACCCAACAAUCCCCCACAUGAAUGGGGAAUGACUAUUUUUCAUAAAUCUUUUAUGGACAAGCAUGUGAUCAUCAAGCAAAAACUAAUUCCAUCUGGAUAAGUGGGUUUUCCUUUGAACUUUCCGUAGUGAACAUGCAUCGGAUGCACUCGGUCAAUCGGUAGAUUUGAUAUCUUUGAAUCUUCGAGCUUUAAUGUACACCUAGACAACACAUAUCACACAACCAUCCUUUUAACAUUUAUGGUUCUUACAAUUUUGUUCUUUUCAGCCAUGAACACGUCCCGAUUUUCAUGAGAGCUUAGAGAAUUGGCUUUUACUAACAUUCUCAUUGAAGCAUCAUCCACUUCGCCCUCACAUAGGUGAUUUCUAAAUGUUCAAUUCUGUAGAUUAAACUAUUUGGUAAAAUCUGUCAAAUUUAGAUAAUCAUUAAAAGACUUUUUACCUUAAGUCUUAUCCUAGUUUACUAUACAUUGUCUACAUCAUGAGAAUGGGUUGGGUAAUUGACAAUGUUGAACCUGUCAGACACAACUUUGUUUGAUCUCCUUGAACUUAGCUCUUGGGAUCUCCAGUCUGCUAGGUAGAGUUACCGCCAUGCUAACUCGUCCUAGGCCUUAAACCCAUUCCCAUGGAUGUUCUUUAGCCUAGUAGAUGCCUCUUCAAAAAGGUGGCAUUGGUUCACUUAAAUGGUGUGAUGUUUCUGAAAAUGCAUGUCUACAGCAUUUUUGCUGAAGCAGUAUACCAUUUCACCAAACAGUGCACCUGUUCGAAACAGUGCAUCACUUCAUUGAAGAAUUGCAUCUGUUCAGUCGAAACAGAAAUAGUAUAUCAGUUCAGUGCAUGUAUCAGUUCAGUCGAAAAGAAAUAGUACAUCAGUUCAGUCAAAACAGUGCAUCAGUUUUGUCGAAAUAUUGCAUCUGUUAUUGUUACUGCAUGCAUAUAAAUAAAGUAUUAUCGAAAAAGAUAGAUCUCAUCGAUCAUUUUCCAAAGCCAAAGCCGAGCGAGCGACGACGACGACAGAGCGAGGCAUCACUUAUUUCUUGCCUCACUUAUCAUGUAGAGUAAGUAUUCAUCAUUAUAAACACUCCAAAGUUCCUUUCUCCCAGCAAUGUGGGAGAAUUAGUGAACUUUCCAAUUUUGGGAGUACACUUACCAAAUUAGUGUCUCCUCUUCUCCACCAUUUUUUUCUCCAUUUUCCAUUCACACUUCUAUGAACCCAACAACUUAUACAUAAUAAAGUUAUAUAUUAUGUUAAACUAAUGGUUAUAUCAUUUAAUUUCAUCUAUGUUGAGUUAUUUAUAUUUGGAAAUGAAAAAUAGGUUUGAAAAUAAUUAUUUUAUAAGAAAAAUCAUUAAUUUUAAAUGUCCAGUCAUAACAAAGAGGGGUUCACUAGUUUAAUCUUCAAAAUAAAAAUAAAAAUCUGAAAUAAUCGAACCGAAUUUGUAGAAACCGGACCGAACCGAAUUUAUUUCGGUUUGAUUACGGUUGUCAUUUUUGUCAAUUCAAAAAUCGAAAAACCAAACCGAUAUUAAACUAUCAAACCGAACGAACCAAAUGUCCAUCCCUUCUUCCCAGGGGCGAACCUACGUAGAUUCAAGUGGAUUCAUAUGAGCCCACUUCGUCGAAAUAUCACACCGUAUGUAUCAAUGUUUGAAAAUGUACAAGAUAUAUAUUAAUUUUUUAACCCAUUUUAAAUAGCUCAGCCUAGUGGAAAGGCGGGUUCAAGAUUUUUGAUAGGUCAAACUUUCCGACACCAACAACCUUUUUGUUAAAUGUCAGAUAAUUUUUUCUUUCUAAUUUUUUUUUAUUAUAAUAUAACUUUAAAAUUUAUUUAAUCAAAAUUUGUUUAUUUAUUUCUCUGGGUAUUCAUUUUUUAUAUAUUUGAACCCACUUUCCUGAGCAGAAUCUAUGUUGCUAUUAUUGUAUAUUUGAACCCGCCACUGGUACUUGCUAUGUUCAGACUACAAAACAUAUUGGUGUUCCCUUUUAACUGAAAUGUCAUUGCUCUAGUAGUAAAAGGUCAAAGUCAUCAAUAGACACUCAAACUUAUUGUCAAAAUUCACUUAGACACCUAAACUAAGGCAUGUUCCUAUCAGGCCCCUAAACCCCCCACAUUUUGUUCAAAUUGGGUUUUUUUUGCCCUAUCAGCAAAAAACUCAAAGUGUGUUGCACACAAGCGAUGACAUGGCAAAAUGAGCUAAUUAGAAGCUGACACGUGGCAUUAUGGGUCCAAUAAUUAUUAAAAAUUAAUUAUAAUUUUAAAAAAAAAAAGUAUAUACAAAUGGCAUUGAAUAAAUUAUUAAAAAAUAAUUCUAAAAUUAUUUAAAAAUAAAACUGAUUAUUUAAAAAAAAUUAUAAAAAUUUUCUAAAAAUGAAAUAAAUUAUUAAAAAAUUAUUUUAAAAAACAAUUAAUUAAUAAGAAAAAUUAUAAUUUUUUUUUAAAAAUGGCGAGGAUAUAAAUUAUGAAAAAAUAAUUAUAAAAUUAUUUGAAAAAUAAAAAUAAAAAAUUAAUUAUUUUAAAAAAAUAUAAAUUUUUUAAAAAAUGAAAUAAAUUAUUAAAAUAUUAUUUAAAAAAUAAAAACUUAAUUAUUAAAAAAAAUAAAAUUUUUUAAAAAUUGAAAAUGAAAAAUGGCAUAGAGGAUAUAAAUUAUGAAAAAAUAAUUAUAAAAUUAUUUUUUAAAAAAACUAAUUAUAAAAUUAUUUUUUAAAAAAACUAAUUAUUAAAAAGAAAUCUUAAAUUUUUUUAAAAGAUGAAAAUAAAGAAUUAAUUUUUUUUAAAAUUCAGUUUAUUAAAAAUAAAAUAAAAUUGGGGCCUUCUAAUGCUUUUUGGGGCCUUUAGUGUUUCAAAAAAAAAAGAAAAUUUGUUAUUAAAAAAAUUUUGGGGCCCUCAAUGCCACUUGACAACUUUUUAUUCGUAAAUUAGUAAAAAAAAAUGCUCCUCACACGCCUUCCACAAUGGCACUGCACACGUAGUGUCACAUAGGCAAAAAAUGUCUAAUUGGAACAAAAUUCAGGGAUUUAAUGGUCUGAUAUGAACAUGUCUUAGUUUAGGGGUCUAAUUGAAUUUUUGCAAUAAGUUUGAGUGUCUAUCGAUGAGUUUGACCUUUUCAAAUUGACACAUGCGUAACCAAUUCUCUAAAUACCAAUUAUUUCUCCUUCAAGUGAUGUCAUCUUCCACAUGGUGGACCCCAUGAUCCUAAGAAUUAUUUAAAAAAUAAAAAAAUAAUUAUUAAAAAUAAAUUAUAAAUUUUUUAAAAAAAUAAAAAUCCCCCACCUAUCCCAGCCCCCAACGUAUUGUUUUAUUAAAAAAAAAAAUUGGAACCCCCUAAUGCUUUUUGUUUUAUUAAAAAGUGUCUUUAGUGUUUAAAAAAAAAUUGUUAUUAAAAAAAUUUUGGGGCCCUCAAUGCCACUUGGCAUCUUUUUAUUUGUAAAUUAGUAAAAAAAAUUGCUCCUCACACGCCUCCCACGAUGGCACUGCACGCGUAGUGCCACAUAGGCAAAAAAGGCCCAAUUGAAACAAAAUGUGGGGGGUUUAGGGGUCUGAUAGAAACAGGCGUUAGUUUAGGUGUCUAAGUGAAUUUUGACAACAAGUUUGAGUGUCUAUCGAUGUCUUUGGCCAGUAGUAAAAUAAUAUGAUGAUCCUCUUUCAUUUCUUGAUAGAAAAAUGAGGAAUCAUGUAAUAACAUCAUAUCGUUCAACAUUAUUCUUUGCACUAAUUUUGAGUAUUAUGUUAAGGUUUUUAAACUGAUUUUCUUAUCAAAAUUAAGUUUUACUUUUUUCUUGUAAGGAAAAUAAAAGUAAUCAUAAAUAUUUUUACUUUUCAUAAAAGAAAAUAUAAAACUUUUUCAUAUUUGGCAAACCUCUUUCUUAGAGGAAGGUUUUGGACAUCUAUAAGAAUUAAGAUCCCCUCUUCAUACCAUAACAUUGUAACAUUCUCAAUGUAGUCAUUGAAGAGUCUUUGUUUAUGAGUGAUUUCUCUCAAUAGGUUUAAUGUUUUUCGAUAUUAGGUUUUAUAAUAUGCAGGCCGAUUGGCCAAAACAUAUAAUAAUUUUAUGUUUUUUAAUAUUGUUUUCUUUGUCGCCUGAUUUAUCAUCUCAUAGUUUGCAACUAAUAGCUUCCGCAUGACAUCCUCUCGUUUUUGAACCCAACAAAUGGUAUCAGAGUCGAUGGUUCAAAGAUCCGAUGGUUCGAUUGAGGACUUUUUAAGAUCAAAGUUGCAAUCAAUUUGGCGAUGAUGAAGCUUUUGUCAAAAAAAAAAAAAAAGGUUCAAAAACUACAUGUGGAGAAAAAGUUUCAAACAAAAUUUCAACAAUCUUGGUGCUAAUCCAUCUUUAAAACCAAAAUCAAUUUCAACUCAUAUUUAUGACUUCAAUUUUCAAUCUAUACUUGCUUUAACGCUUGGGCUCCUUUCAACUCGUGCAUUUAUUUUUAAUGCAUGAGCUCCACUCUUAACCUGUGCUCACUUUCAAUGCACAAAGUUCUACUUUCAAUCUUAUCAACCGUGCUUUUAUUUUUAAUGCAUAGGACUCUAAUUUUAACCCAUAUCAAUUUUUAAUCAUGGUUGACAGCAGUGAUAUAUGAAGAAUAUAUGAAAAACGAAGAUCAUGCACAAGAAAAAGGAGGAUCAAGAAUAUUUUGCAGAAAAUCAAGCAAAAAAGGGAGAUUUGUUAGGGUUUUUACUCUAAUUUUCUUACCAAAAUUAAGUUUUACUUUUUCUUAUAAAAAAAUAAAAGUAAUCAUAAAUACUUUUAUUUUUGUUAAAAGAAAAAUAUAAAACUUUUCUAUAUUUGGCAAACCUCUUUCUUGGAGGAAAGGUUCUGGACAUUAGGAUACUCUUCUCAUGCCAUAAUACGGUAGCAUCCACAAUGUAGUCAUUGAAGAGUUUUGUUUAGGGAAAUUUAAUGUUUUUUCGAUAUUAGAUUUUAUAAUAUGCAGGCCGAUUGGCCAUAACAUAUAAUAAUUUUAUACUUUUUAGUGUUAUUUUCUUUGUCACCUGAUUUAUCGUCCCAUAAUUUGCAACUAAUAGCUUCCGCAUGACGCUCUCUCGAUUACGAUCCCAACAUAUUGUUUCUUGAGAAUUAAUUGAAUUCCAUAAGUUCCUCCGGUCCGUAAAUUUAAGUUUUAAGAUUUUAACAGCUUUAUAGUUUUUCAGUUACCAUAUCCCAAAAUGUAGCUCCGGUCGUUUCUGCUAUGCUCUUUUUUUUUUUUUUUUCCUUUGGUAUGAAAGUGGCAAUAAAUGAUUCAUGUCUUUUGAAAGUGAAACUAAGAACUAGACCGUCAUUGGAAAAUAACAAACAUUUAUUCUAUUGUCAACUCACUCACAACAACUUUGCAAGGCCAUCAAACAAUCAAAUUUUAACAAUUAUAUUAUGAUAUUCAUUUUCCGGGAACAAAGUUUGUGGCGUAGGCCCAGGCAUUGUUGUUAACCGGAUCUGCUAGAUGGUCAGCAAGGUUCUCCAAUGGACCCUUUCCUGUAACAAUGGCCUGAACAAAGAAUCCAAACAUAGAGAACAUAGCAAGUCUACCGUUCUUGAUCUCCUUUACCUUGAGCUCAGCAAAUGCCUCUGGAUCAUCAGCAAGACCCAAUGGGUCAAAGCUGCCACCGGGAUAGAGUGGGUCGACUACCUCACCAAGAGGCCCACCAGCAAUACGGUAUCCCUCAACGGCUCCCAUCAAGACAACUUGGCAAGCCCAGAUGGCCAAGAUGCUCUGUGCAUGGACCAAACUUGGGUUGCCCAAGUAGUCAAGUCCACCCUCGCUGAAUAUCUGGGAUCCAGCCUUGAACCACACAGCCUCACCAAACUUGACACCAUUACGGGCCAAGAGCUCGGGGAAAACACAUCCAAGAGCACCAAGCAUAGCCCAUCUGCAGUGGAUCACCUCGAGUUCACGGUUCUUGGCAAAGGUUUCUGGGUCUGCUGAAAGUCCAGCGGUGUCCCACCCGUAGUCACCGGGAAAUUCACCGGUCAAGUAGCUUGGAGACUCACCUGAGAAUGGACCCAAGUACUUGACACGGUCUGGCCCAUACCAUGGGCUGCCAGAUGAGGCUGGCUUGGAGACAGCCUUUCUCAUAGAGAUCCUUCCAUUUCCAGUGAUUUCUGAGGCAGAGGGUGAGAGUUUCACUGCCUGUCCAGCAAAAGAAGGUGAAGAAAGUGCCAUUGUAGAAGCUGCCAUGGCUUAUCAAGAGAAAAGUAAGUGUUUGAUGGUAUGAAAUAUUGUUGAAGUUGGCUGUGAUGAGGUGAAGUUAAUUACAAGGGGCUUCACCAUAUAUAGGAGGAGUAAGAGCGGUAGAGGCCUUUAUCUAACGAUAUCUACAUCUUUUUCUUUUGGUGUUAACGAUAUCUGUAUCUGUGAUCUCAUUGGGUAAUAAGAUCACAUGUGUAGAAAUUAAUGCACACUUGGCAAUCUCCAGACUCCAAUCCAUCAAUUUUCCAAGAUGUUUACUAAAAGGACCCAUCCAAUAUUGUCCGCCUUAGUGUGGCUACGAGGUUAUUGACUCUAUUCUGUGAUUCGUUGAGCUUACACUAAGAUAUCUCUUAUCGUUAUCUUUUGGGAAUUUCUCCAGAUUUUAUCCACCAGCUGGGAAUAAGUUACCACCACUAUAGCUCAUUCAAUGUAGAAGUAGAAGUUAGAACUAUGGUUUAGCGUUGCACUAAAUAAAUAGUAGAAAAGCUGAAUUUUUCAGAUUAUCAGUAACUAAUGUCUAUCAAAAGAUUAAUUUGAAGUAAUUGCUUAACAAGCAAAAGUGGAUCAGAAUUUGAACUUUCAUGGGUUCUGUAGUCUAGGACGAGUUCUACUAAAUAGAUUCCAAAUUUAACUUUUCUACAUACUCGCUCCGUCCCAUUUUACCCGUCCCAAAUUGGCUAAGUUGAUGUUUCAUUUUAGUUGUCCCAUUUUACUUAUCAAGAUAAGACAAACUUUUCUUUCCAUGUUUUACCCUUUGCAUUAAUUAUCUUUUCUUUAAAUUAAAAUGUAAACAUCAUUUAAUAGGGGUACUUGGGUAAACUAGCCAUGUUAUAUAUUAUUUUUCUUAAUUGUUGUGCCAUCCUAAUUUGGGACAAGUAAAAUGGGACGGAGAGAGUAUUUAAUAAGCUUAUCAAAACAUAUGCAUGGUUUGGGCCAAAGUUAGUUAGUUCUGUCAAACUGGUUUGCUGAAGGCUAUCUGCGCAUGUUAAUAAGUGAUAUGAUUGUGUUAUGUGCAAGUAUUUUUACAAUGUCAAUGCAUAACCUCUCUAUAGUGUCCUGUAUAGCUUGUAUCUUCUGCUUACAAUGUCCUUUUGGCUCUGGUCAUUGUUAUGUGAACGUGUUCUUCUCUAAAGAGAAUACCACAUGCACGUAAGGAUGGAGGACUAUACAAGAAACUCAUGAAUUUGUUCAAAUCUAAGAUGCUGCUUAAAUUAAGGACACAUAAGUAUAAUGGCCUGGAAACUCAUAUAUUACUUGCUACGUUCAAAAUACAAAACAUAUACAUUGGUUUUCCCCUUAUCAUUAAAAUGUCAAUGGUGUACGCAGUAGUGAAAUAAUAUUAUGUCCUCUUAAUUCAUCUCACUUCUCGACAGGAAAAUAAGGAAUCAUGUAAAUAACAUCAUGUUGUACAUUGUUAAUCGUGGCACUAAGAGUAUUGCUUCUUGAGAAUUAAUUGAAUUCCAUAAGUUCCUCUGGUCUGUAUAUUCAAAUUAUAAGCUUUUUGUCAAAAAACAAAGGGAGCGGUAGAGUUAAGCUACAAGGAGAAAAAUAUAAGGAAAUUGCAGCUGUAAAUUGCUACAAAAAAGACUGCAGUAAAGAACAAGAAGCUGAAACUUUUUGAGUGUUUUCUAUUUUUUGGAUAGUUAUAAAUGUCUAAUGUCAUCCCUUAUUUAUACUUAUGUAGGGAUGAUUCUAGAUACUACAAAUCUAGAGUGUUCGUAUACAAAUAUCUCCCUCAAAUAUCUAGCACCCUCUAGAUCUUUCCUAAAUAUAAAUAUCAAAUAUACUACACUAUUCCUUUCUAGAUUCUUCUAACUAGAAUUACCUAAAUAUCUAGAUAUUUCUUUAGCAUGAUCAUCCUAGAAAUUUUACUAGACUAUUCUACAGACUGAACUAGAAAUCUAUGAUUCCAAAAAAUCUACUUUAAUAUUUUCACACUCCCUCUUAAAGUGAUUUUUUUGGAAGCUAUCCUAAACUUGUUGCGGAAGAACUCAAGUGAAGCUUUGAACCGUACUUUAGUGAAAAUCUUGAUAGUUUUUGCAUGACUCCUCUUUCUUCUUCAAAUGAUGAAGAUUUCUCGUUAAUGAUUGGCCCUUGUUGAGUUUUAUCAUAUUGAGUUCUCGAGCUCCCCCUUUCUCUGAACUCCUCCGUAACUUCAUUAUCUGGUGACCCAAAUAUGAUGGAAAAGUUUGAAACUCUAGGAUUGAAGAUUUUAGAACUUACUCUUUCUGAAGCAACUCCAUAACACAAGAAUAAUUUUUUGGUAUCAACCUCCUUAUUUGAUUUGAUGACGAUCUUUUGUUCGGGCCUAUCAACUAGCUCCCAAGUAUUAUUUUUUUAUCAUGGCAAGCUCCUCAUCCAUUGCGGAAAUCCAAGUUUCAUGACUUCUGCUUCUUCAAAAGAAGAUGGUUCCACAAGAGCAAAAUUGCAUUGCUCAUAAACUUCAGGUAGUGACCUGGUCUUCAAAAUAGGAGAAUCUGAAGUUAAUUCAACAUCUGAAUUGUCUUCUUUUUCAAUAAGAGGAUUGGAAGAAAUAUUACACGUCUGUGGAUUUUGAGCUGCAACUGAAGUACACUCAUCUUGGUUCUUUACAACAAUAUCUCGAUCCUAAUCAUAGUGGCUAGACUCAUCCACCGCAAGAUCUCUACUGAUAAGCACCUUUUACGCACGAACAUUAUACACUUUCUACCCUUUUGCAGCUGUGUUAUAGCCCAACAAAAUACAAAGUCCUGCCUUGUUAUCCAAUUUACCUCUUUUAGCAUCAGGAACAUAUGCAUAACAGACUGAACCAAAAACUUUUAAGUGUCUCACAGAUGACUUUAUACCUUUCCAUGCUUUAAAUGGUGUCAUGUCUUGGAGUGCUCUAGUUGGUAAUAUGUUUAGUAAAUAGACUGCAGUACUGACUGCCUCAGCCCAAAAACAUUUGGGUAUCUUCUUUUCUGCUAGCAUACAUCUCACCAUCUCCAUCACGGUUCUGUUCUUUCUCUCAGAAAUACUGUUUUGUUCUGGAGUGUAGCUCACAGUAAAUUGUUGUUGAAUGCCCACAUCUUUACAAUACUUGUUGAACUAAUGCGGAGUAUAUUCAGUUUCAUUAUCUGACCUGAUAUACUUCAAUCGGCAACCACUCUUCCUUUCUACCAUAGCCUUGAAUUCUUUGAAAACAGAAAACACCUGAACUUUGUUACUUAAAAAUAGACCUAUGUCAUUCGAGUUAGAUCAUUUAUAAAGAGAAUAAAAUAUUUAUUCCCACUCAAAGAAGUUGUCCUCAUUGGUCUACAUAUAUUUGUAUGAACCAACUCUAGUUUUUCCUUCGUCCUCCAAAGACUUCUUUUAGGAAAGAAUUAUUUAUGCAAUUUACCAAAUUGACAUGACUCACAAACAUCUCGGCACAUGUCAAUUUUGGGUACAUCAAGCACCAUACCCUUGGAUUGCAUAUACACCAAUGAACUAAGAUUGUAAUGACCGAAUCUUUUGUGCCAAAGCCAAAUAUCAAUUAUUUCAACAUUGAAAGAGCAACUUUCAACAGAAUAGCAUGAAAUUGGAAAGGAAUUACCAAUCAUGCUAAUUUUAGCUACUUCACAACCUUUAGGAUCAUAAAUGACACAUUUUUUAUCCUUAAAAAUAAGUGAAUAAUUAUUGUGAAGUAACUGAGCAACACUCAACAAGUUUUGAGUCAAGCUUGGCACAUAAAAAACAUCGUUUAUGAUUUUCAUACCUUCGUCCGUAGGAAAUUUCACUGAUCCUCUUCCUUGAGCUUGCACCAGUGCACCAUCUCCUAGCUUCACUUUGAUCCUAUCAGACCUGUCCAGGCUAACAAAUAGAUUUUCAACAAUCGUCAUGUGCCUUGUGCACGCACUAUCGACAUGCCAAUUAUAUCGAUCGACAUGUGAUAUGUGUGAAGCCAUGAAUACCUCUUCCUCUAUUUUUUGAACUUGGUGAUCUUCCGCAAAAUUUACUCAUUGAAAAGACUGACCAAUUUGAGUUUGCUUUUGCCUGCAAUGCUUCUCAAUGUGCCUAUACUUCUUGCAGUAUCUGCAUUGAAUAGGAGACCUCUUGGACUUCUGCCAACAAUUUUUCUAUAAGUGGUUUGUCUUCUUACAAAUACCACAAGGUGGAAAUUUUUCUCUCCUCAACGAUUCACCUUGGUAUCCACCAGAUUUCACCUCUCCAGAGUGGUCUAAAAAGACUUUUUUGCCUUCUUUUUGUUGCUUGAAAGGCAUAUUCGACUGUUCCUUCGAUUCUCAUAGUUACCCAUUGCUCUUGGAUUUGCAAUUUAGAGAUCAACUCAGCUAUUGAAAGAAUAGUCAAGUCACAGGACUCUUUAAUAGCUGAGAAUUUGUAUUUAAACUUGUCUGGAAAGCUGACCAUAAUCCCCUUUAUAACCUUCUAAUCUAAAAAGUUUUCACCAAGUAUCCUUAUGUGGUUCACAAUAUCCAUUAGCUUAGAAGAGUAUUCUUUUACACUAUCCGGAUCCUUCAUCUUCAAGAGCUCAAACUCCCUCUUCAAAGCUAAAACCUUAACAGACUUAACUCUGUUGCUGCCUUCAAACUCCUUCUUUAGCUUAUCUCAGGCUUCUUUAGCUGUCUCACAAGCCAUAAUCCUUGUAAAUAUCACUUCCGUAAGGGUUGAAUGUAUGCAAGUGAGUGCUCUUGGAGAUCUAGUCACCAAUUCAUCAUACUUUUUGAUAUCAUUUAGAGUUGAGUUGUCUCUCAAUGGCUGGACAGCAGGUUCUCCUCUCUAAACAAUAUCCCACAAGUUGAGAGUCUUCAAAUAAGCCUUCAUUUUAAUGGUCCAAAUAUGAUAAUUCUCCCCCGAAAAAAUCGAAGGACCCAUUGUUGGUUGAUUUUCUGGUGCCAUGUUUUUUCAGUAAAUAGAUUCAAGAAAGGAGCUAAAAAUAAGAUGAGUCAAUCAACAAAAAACAUAUUCAGAUCCCGUAAGAAAUGGGCUCUGAUACCAUGUCAAAAAAUAAAGGAAACGGGGAGAGUAAAGCUACAAGGAGAAAAAUAUAAGGAAAUUGCAACUGCAAAUUGCUACAAAAAAGACUGCAGUGAAGAAGGAGAAGCUGAAACUUUUUUAGUGUUUUCUAUUUUCUAGAUAGUUAUAAAUGUCGAAUGUAAACCCUUAUUUAUUCUUAUGUAGGGACGAUUCUAGAUACUACUCCCUCCAUCCCAUUUUACCCGUCCCAAAUUGGGAUGGCACAGCUAUUAAGAAAACAAUGAUUGGUAAUGUUACUUUACCAUUUUUUCUCUCUUAAUUGUGUCUUGUUGUUAGUUCCAAUAUUGAUGGAUGACCAAUACAAAAGCACCAUUUAUAUUCUUAAUGGUGUACUCCUAAUGGUACUCUUCUUUGCAACGUUUUUCAAAAAUGUUAAUAACAAGGAGUAAGCAAUUACACUGAGGAUAAAAUGAAAAAAAAAGUUGUCUUAUCUUGAUAAGUAAAAAAGGACAACUAAAAUGGGACAUCAAAUUAGAAAAUUUGGGACGGGUAAAAUGGGACAGGGAGUACAAAUCUAGAGUGUUCUUAUACAAAUAUCUUCCUCAAAUAUCUAGCCCCCUCUAGAUUUUUCCUAAAUAUAAAUAUCAAAUAGACUACACUCUUCCUUUCUAGAUUCUUCUAACUAGAAUUACCUAAAUAUCUAGAUAUUUCUUCAACAUGAUUAUCCUACAAAUUUCACUAGACUAUUCUAGAGACUUAACUAGAAAUCUAUGAUUCCAAAAAAUCUACUUUAAUACCAUCACACUUUUACCACAUCCAAAAUGUAUCUUGGGUUUUUUUUUUUUUUGGCUUUGUCAUCGAUUUUUCUCCCCUUGAUAUGAAACUGGCAGUAUUUAUUCAUGCCAUUGGAAAAUGAAAUUCAGGACUACACAAUAACUGGAAUAUAAGAAAAAUCCAUUCUAUUGUCAAGUAAACUCACAACUACAACUUUACAAGGGCAUCAAACAAUGAAAUUUUAAGAUUGUUUUACGAUAUUCAUUUUCCGGGGACAAAGUUUGUGGCGUAGGCCCAUGCGUUGUUGUUAACUGGAUCUGCAAGGUGGUCAGCGAGGUUCUCCAAUGGACCCUUUCCGGUAACAAUGGCCUGAACAAAGAAUCCAAACAUAGAGAACAUAGCAAGUCUACCGUUCUUGAUCUCCUUUACCUUGAGCUCAGCAAAUGCCUCUGGAUCAUCAGCAAGACCUAAUGG